rnacentral:lncRNA from 1 species
UUUUCUUUUUUUUUUUUUAUGUAGGCUGUGCAAUGCACGGGGCCUUUUCAACUAUUUUAUAGAAUUUUAUAUCUAAUAUAUUUAAUAUGAUUAAAAAUUAUUUAUCAAUAAUAAACUAUAAUUUUUAAUAAAAUAAAAUAUGAAAAUAUAUUUUGUUUGUAAGUUAGAAUUAUUAAAAAAACAAUUUGAAAUUUAAUAUUAAUUAGAAAAAUAUCAACUAGUGUUUUGUGUAUGUGAUUGUAUUUUUUUAAUAUUUAUUUAUAUAGUAGGAAAUAUAUAUUAUUAUAAAUGUUUUUAAAUUAUGCUUGAUGAAUGUAUUUUAUAUUGGAAUGAUGAUGAGUAACCGGUACAGAAGGUGUACUAAAAAUUGUGAAUGCAUUGAAAUGAACCUGUCCCAAUUGCCUAUAUUCUAAACCUCUCCGCUUCUUCAUUCGAUGGUCGAGAGGUCGAGGACGGUAGGGGUGUGCACGGGUCGGUUCGGCUCGGGUUCUAUCUAAAACCGUUACCAAACCGUGUAUUUCGGUUCAGUUCGGUUUUUAUGUAGAAACCGUAACCGAACCGUUUCGAAUGGUUUAGUCCGGUUCGGUUAACCGUUGGUCNUUUCAAACAGUUUUUUCGGUUCGGUUAAUCGUUGGUCGGUUUCGGUUUUUUUCCGGUUUUUAUAUGAUUAGAAACUACUAUACAAAUUUAAUACUUUUAUUAACUUUAGAAAAAUAUUUAUAUUCUUAUUAUAUCAAUUUCUCUUACUAAAAUAUAUAAUUAAUAUAUUGUUGCACACAUAUAUAUAUAUAUAAUAUGUUAUAUAUAAUAAUAUAUAAUAAAUGUUGUAUUUUUAUUAUAUAUUAUAUAAACGGUUUGGUUUUUUAGUUCAAACUACUAUACAAAUUUAAUACUUUAUUAAUUUUAAAAAAAUAUUUAUAUACUUAUUAUAUCAAUUUCUUUUGCUAAAAUAUAUAAUUAAUAUAUUGUAGCACAUAUAUAUAUAAUAUGUUAAAUAUAAUAAUAAAUGUUAUAUUUUUAUUAUAUAUUAUAUAAACGGUUAGGUUUUUCGGUUCGGUUUUAGGGGUAAAACCGUAACCGUUACCAAACCGUUAUAUCGGUUCGGUUCGGUUACGGUUUUUUUCGGUUUUUGUCGGUUACGAUUUUUUUCGGUUUGGUUUUUCAAUUUUUCGGCUCGGUUUCGGUUUUCCGGUUUUUUUUGCUCACCCGAGGACGGUUAUGGCUGCCAAUAUUGUUAAUUUGUUAUUGACUAUUACUAUUAUACAGGCUGAAUGUGUGCAUGCCCAAUGGUUUGGGGUUUAUUUAAACGGUCUUUACUCGAUCGGCCCAACUACUUGGGCACCCUAUGACGGGCCUCCAACAAUUCUAUUACAUUUCAGUAUGCCCGACUCAAUUAGUUGUGAUUAAUAGGUUCUGUUGGACCAUAUUUUAUCUUGUUUGCAAUUGCUGAUGACCAUCUUUUAUAUGGAGUCUGGACAGUGGACCACUAUCUUUUAUUGCCUUCAGUUUUGUGUGUUUUUUCUUGUUUCCUGUCAUUAAAAAAGUGCUAUUUCUUGUUUCCUGUCAUUAAAAAAGUGCUAUUGAACAAAUUACGGUUAAACUUUGUUUGUGUAUAUUUGAAACAUAAAACACAUGACUUCUAAUUAAUCAUGGAAAAUGUUAUAUCCAUAGCAAACUUUUAAUUUCUAGAGCAAAUAAGGAUAAAAAGACAAAACUGACCCGUGCAUACACAAUAACAACAAAUGAAAAAAACAAUGUGAGGGUAAUUUCGUCUUUUCAUACUUCUUUAGCUCUGGAUAUAAAAUUUUGCUCUGGAUAUAACAUUUCCCAUAAUUAAGUACGCCUUUUUUGUAAGAAUGUAGUGUCCACUUAAUACAUAUUGACAAUAAUUUAUAGAUCAAUAUGAAGUAAUAUACUAACCUAUCUUGGUAAUGCUUGAAUGCAUUUUGUAUCUUCUCCUAGAUCCAUCCUUAGUUUCUCCUGUACUUGUAUAUUGAUGGGACAAAUACUUUAUGAGAAUAUAUAUUGUGUUCUAGUAGAGACCAAAAUUGGUUUAUAUACAAGUUCAAUAUUUGAACAGUCACGUCAGUUUUUUCCAUCAAAAAAAUGCGAGCAACUACUUAUCCCAACUGACAUGUCUUAAAGGAUUAUAGGUUGAAUUUAAAAUCCAACCGAUAUACUAUAUACAUAAACAAGUGUGUCAAACUUAUCCUUAUUUACACGUGUCUAUAUAAACAUAUAUAUAUAUGUCACUUGUUCAUACGGUAAUAUUAUGCAUUAAUAUUACAUUUUUAAGUAAAUCAUAUUUAUCAUUCUCACUUUUAUUUCAUCUGAUUUUUUAAAUGAAAUUGAAUCGUUAGAAAUCUAACUGUAGAAAUUGAUAAUUCAAUUAUGAUUAUAAUUUUUCAAUUUUUAAAACCUAAUCUCUGAUUCCAAUUUUGUUCAAAAAUUGAGUCAGACAGGCCAUGAUGCUCUCAUUAUAAAUUGUACUCUCACUCAAAGUUUAUGAUGUUAUUUUAUGCAUAGUUGGGUGACUAAUGAUACCAGGAGGAAUGAAAUUAAAAAUAACUAUAUCAUCGAUAAGAAAUUUUUUUACUUCUUUGAGAUGGAAUUCUCCAUUCUCUUCUAUCCCAAGUUUCUUCUCAAAUCUUGUCAUAUCGGAUUUGCAUUCGCUCAAUUUUCUUUCAAAACUCCCCACAUACUUUUUAACAAUUUCAAGUCAUCUUACUAAUUACAUUCCAUUUUAUUUCAAUUUGCCCAACCAAACACAAAAUUAGUGUUUGGAGCAAGGUAGGCAAUUGGCCCGUAGACGCGCGAUAUACUAUUUUCGUGAUUCUCAUUUUUUUUUUACUGUUUUCGUUCCGGGUUUAACACAUAUUUUAAGAUAUAUAUAAAUUGUAAUCUAUAACUUAUGUUAAUUUUUUUGUAAAAAUAUAAACAUUUGAUUUGUAUUCAGAAUAAAAAACUCAAAAUAAGUUAUAUAGUUAAGUGUUUUGAAAUAAUAAAAUGUGCCGAAUCUUUCUAACAAAAAGAAGGGAGGGGACAUAGAAUAGAAGUUAAGCAACUGAGAAAGAAUGACAUUUUAGUGUGCAAGUUCAAAAUACGAGAGAAUCGUUAUGUAAAUUAAUCAAAGAUCAAUCGAAUUAACAUAAUACCCACGAUUAACUUGUUAUAUUGACCAACACACAUUUUGUGUCUCGAUUAUCGAAAACUUGUAUUUCCUCAGUUUAUAUUUUAAACACCAGCUAUGUAUUAUAUCUUGAACAUCAGUUAUGUAUGUCAAUUCGUCCAUAAGCACGAUGUUGAUAGAGGAAUUUGGUGAAUCAACAAACGUGAGGUUCGUUGUCGGACUUAGGUGUUUCACGGUGGUUAUAUGACGUAAAUCCGUCGUGGGCGGUGAUUUUAGGUGUUUGAGGGUGGCUGAGAUCAAGGGAAUAUAUUUCUGCACUCGUUCUCACAACUCUCGAUAUAUCCCCUUGAUGUGCCUACAUACACCUUUAUAUAGGGGAUCAAGCCGUACGUAGUUCCAUUGAACCAAGACUCCUAGUUUGAUCAGAACUAGGCCUCUUGGGGAUAAGACCAACCUUGGGCCGAUGACUUAUCACUUAGAGUUCUACUCCAGUUAGAAGUAAGCAUUGAGACAACUACCCUAGACUCCUAGUCCAAGUACAUCACGGAUACGGCAUCAUCUCCACUACGAGAGAUAAUUGAGACAACUACCCUAGACUCCUAGUCCAAGUACAUCACGGAUACGGCAUCAUCUCCACUACGAGAGAUGACACUAACCGCUACUUUUCGUAGCAUGGAGGAGACAUCGGAUAGAGCCGUGACCACUUCCUUGAGGUGUAGGGACGUGUCCUUACCCCCUAGUGAAGGUUCUCACUAAGAGGUAAGACCAUUGAGGAGCCAAAUUACACGAUCGUCUCAGUCCCCCAAUGAGGGCUAACUCACCAAAAUACAGGACCCAGACAUAUGAUCGGCCUUCAUGUCACCCCCGAGGGCCUUCUACAAUCAUGAUCACCCCAAGCCCCCGCACGAGGACAACCCGGCAGAUAGCAGGAUUGGGGAUUACAGAUCACGCCCAGUCGUAACCCGGGAACUACCAGAUGAGCCUGAUAACUUCCAAAUGAGCCUGGCACUAGUCUUCAUAUCCCUCGGAAGGGUAGGUCUUCGUAUCCCUCGGAAGGGUCAUCAUUGAGACUCACUCAUCCUUUCACACAACAAGUUUACCUGUGGGCGCGACCAUGGAGGGCGCGCCCUUUGCCUUCAUUAUCUUGCCUCCUCAUCAGCAAAGACCAUACCUUCUUUCAGACAAGGGCCGCGCCCUCCGGGCAGACCCCGUGAAGGGCGCGCCCUCCCUGAUCAUCAUACGCUCAAAUUUGGCCACAACAAGUACUACCCAGAUUUUAUAAAUAUUGUAGAUGUCUGUGAAAUCUUCUCAGUGCAAAUCUUCGCUUUCCUGUCUCCAAACUUGAGUUCCACACAAGGGCGCGCCCUCACCUCGAACGGCGCGACAUCAACCUUCAGAAGAAUUUGAAAAGUUGUAACCGUUAUUAAGGGACAGCUGUCAUCGAAAAUACCUCCACUAUAAAUACUCCCCCAUUUCUUCGUUUCCACCAUUUACCGUUACUCUCUCUCUUCCAGCGGCGACUCCGAGCUUUUCCGGCCACCACAGCUUUUUCCGAGCCCGUUUGACAACUUCGUUCCGGCGAAUCAACUCUCCAACUCUUAAGGUACAUUUUCGUUACUUUUAUGCAAGAUUUCAUCGAUCAAUUAGUUAGAUCCAUCAAUAUGUCUCUUCAGUUUCCCCAUUGUUCUUCGUGUUCUUGAAUAAUAUAUAUAUACAUGCAUAUACACAUAUAUUUUAUGCACGUUUGAUCCAAAACGCUCCCCCCACGCCCUAGUUAAACUGUUUCUGGCCGCAGUCGUUAUCCGGUUAAGGGCGCGCCCUCAGCAAUGGGCGCGACCUCCUACUCCUCUAUACUUUUCACAUGCUUCUUUAAAUUCACAUAGCACCUCUUACAGGACUCAUAUGUGCCUAAACCGAGGGCGCGCCUUUGACCUAAAAACGUGCCCUCGUCUACUCAAUCAUCGCUUACCCUUCCCUUACUUUCUUCUUUCCAUUUAAGCGUUUCUUUCCCUUUUAGGGGGGGCGCCCUUACAGCUUUCUUCAUUUUUAUUUUCAGCAGGCAGACAAGGGCGCGUCUCCCCCUUUUCAUCCAUUUCGAGAGUUUUUGAGCCGCAUCGGGAUUUCGGUUUCUCAUCCCGAGGUUUUUUCCCCUUCUCCCCCAAGAAGCCCACAGAGAGUUCCUCAAGAGCUUUUAGAUAAGAUUAACAAGCAAUUGGCCGAGGGCACCCUUUGUUCAAAUAUGGAUUCAACCUCUCCUCGACUUCAUGGCAGGCAACACACACGGCCAUCCAGCCAAUGGACGCGCCCAACCGACUAUGAUUCGGAGAUAGAAUCAUGGUUCGAGGAUGGAGAUGCCGCUCCUCAUAAUGCCAAUAAGGCGACCGAGGCCGCGCCCUCGACGGCUGACCACCAAGAGGCCGCGCCUUCCAAGCCUGAUAAAGGAAAGAAGAUAAUGACUGAAGAUUCUCCUUACUCCCCUUCCAAUUCCCCUCCUCGUCAAGAAUGCUCGUCUCAAUCCGAGGGCGCGCCCGAGAAGGGACAUAGUGACUUCAUUAUCACCUCUCCUGAUAGCUCUCCAGAGCCAUAUGAGCAUCCCAAAAUUGAAUCGUGGGAAGAAGAUAUUAACUGGGAUGCCCUUUCUGACAAUGAAACUCUGUCUCCCAGAGCUGUGGAGGCCGUCAAGAAGAGAGCUGGCAAGAUGUCUUGUGUAGAUCAGGAAUCUUAUAUCUCAUGGGACGAGCUCGAAUGGAUCCAAAGCUAUUACAAUAUGGAGGGGAAAUCUGUAGUUCCCAAGGAGGGCAUGCGUCCUCAUAGGUUCGACCGGGAAAACAUCAGGAUCCCUAGGAUGGUCACUACUCUCAGGCAUGUGCCCUUGGGCGUGACCGCGCCCUUGCCCCAGUACUACAUUGACUUGUGCGACUGGUUCAAGGUCGCGCCCAUCCAACUUUCCCCUAACUCCUAUAUGCUAGCGGCGGGGCUCUACAUUCUUUUUGACAAAGUAGGCUUGGGCGCGCCCUCCAUGCGAGAGGUGAGCCAUUUCUUUAGGCUUGCCCAAAGUCAACCUGGAUACUUUUAUCUUGUAGUGCAGCAUGAGCACAAUAAGAAAGGUCUUUCUGAAGGAAGGAAUACUCACAUAAAGAAGUGGAAAUAUACCUUCUUUUACGUAUACAACACCACUCGGGUCACCACUCAAUUUAACCCUAACCCAGGUAUAUCCCUUAUCACAAAUGGGCGUGCCUUUUUGAUAUUACGGAGGGCGCGCCCCCUUUACUCAUUGUACUUGGGUUCUUACACACCUUCUUUUUCCCUUAGUUUAUCACGACAAGAUCUCUCUUUCCGCGAAGGAAGCUGCCCGGGUUGCCAAAGUAUUUGAACUCCCAGCCACAGAAAGGAACAUUCCUUCUGUGGUAACGGAAGGUAACCUCAUAAAGGUCAAGCUGCUCCCCGAGGAAGUAGGGACGAAAGUUGGGUGGAAGAAAUUCAUAGAUGGGCGCCCUGUUGGCGAGAAACUGAAAGGGACCAAGAGAAAGAGGUCCGAGUCCAGUGACUCUGAAAGUGAUAGUGAGAAUGGUGAGUCAAGGUCGCGCCCUUGCCUUUUGAUUUUGAGGGCGCGCCUUCAACACAAAAUUGCUUAUUAGUGUAAUGUUGUCAUGCUGCAUUCUAACUUAUAUUCCUCUCAUACUCCUCAUCUACUUUACAUAAGUUGUAUGCCUUAUCCCACAAGGGCGCGACUUUCAUUGCUUUUAUAGGUUCUAACUUGUUUUCUGUUUUGUUUGUGUAGGUAUGCCUCGCCCCAGCUUCCUCGGCAAGAAAGGGCCAGUUGCUCAGCAACCAGACAAGGCCGCGCCCUUGGGCUCUAAGCAGCCUCAGGAAAAAGCCGCGUCCUCAGUUCUUGCCCGGACCGUUGCUGACGCUCCCGAGGCUCCCCUUGCUGAACAUCAACCUGGCAAGAGAAAGAGGCAAUUGAGGAAGGAAGCGCCCUAGAUGAGCAAAUCGGCGCGCCAUUUUGCUGACAUGGGUGAUACCUAUGUCGAUGAUGGGGAGCUUGAUAAGUGGAGGGCCAAGCCUCAGGAAGAGAAAGACUCUUCCCUUUUGAAGGGCGCGACCGAGUUCUUGGUCCAUCGCCACGACAGAGAGGAGCGUCGCUUGGAGGACGCAGCUUCUCUGAAAAAAGAUGAGGAGAGCCUAUCCAAGCUGAAGGAGGACUUCAGAUCUCAGAGAGAGGACUUGAAAAAGGCACAAGAAGGUUAGAGAAGCUGCCAGAAGCUUCUCAAAGAGGAAAAGGCGCGCCUUGAGCCCCUACAGAGAGAAGUCGAGAGCUUGAAGAAGUCUAAUGAAGACUUAGCUUCUGCCAACCAAUAGCUGAAGGAGAACCAAGCCUCACUUACAGCCGCGGAAAAGGCGAAGAUCGAGGGCGCGGCCUUCGAUGAUGGGGUCAAUAGUUAUGUUGCCACAUUCGUGGCCGGCGCGCCCUCCUUCGACUAGGCUUCUCACUUCGGUUCUGAAAUGGCCCAGUGGGUGGAGGAGUUUAAAGCUGAGCAGCCAGAACUUAUUGCCACUAAGAAGGCUGAGAUUGAGGAGACCCUGGCCAAAGAGGCCUCCAUUAGACAGGCGGCUGAGGAACAGGCGCGCCCUCAAGACCAUGUUUCUGAAGACGCUUCCCUUAAUCAGGCUUCUUAACUCUCUUACUUGUUCUAAACAUACUUCGAGGAGCGGGCCCUCAUUUGAUGCCUCGCAAGUUGUAUUUAUUUUAAUCAUCCUGCUUAACUUACUUAACUUGCCCGGGGGCGCGCCGUCCGGCUUUUAAUUUACAUCCUUUUGUUUCUAUUUUGCUUACGCUGUUAUUGAAUCAUUACAACCAAUUAUAAUCACAUGGAAGAAGAUACUUUCUGGCGUUCAUUUCUUAUAAAUGUCAUGCUCAACACACAAGGGCCCUUCGGGGCGCGGCCUCUUGCCAUUAGUAUCUUUAAUUAGUGAUAACGCUCAUUUGUGCUAUAACUGCUUAUUGGUCGUUUGAUCUUUUAUCACUAAAUUAUGUGAUCUUUGAACAAAGGGCGCGCCCUUAUGCUGUACCAUAAAUAAGAUGUUUUUUAAGCCAUAGCUUUAUAUUUAUUACUUUGAAUCUGUACUCCUACUUGUAAGUUCUCGUGAGGGCGCGGCCUCCGUCUUAUUGGGGGCGCGCCUUUCAUCUGCCUUGGCAUAUUUUAAGGGCUUAUGUCCCUGUGUUAACAGUAAGGGCGUGGCUCAGGAGUUAUUUUAAUCGCCUUACUUGAAAAUAAACAUUCAACACAUCCUUUUGUGGAAAAUAGAGUGGCUCUAGGCCUUUAUUCAGAUGGUUGAAACACAACAUGGCCUUUGGCCCAUACCUAAAUACUCUAGAAAUAAUGCUCUCGAGUACGAAACCGCACCCGUCCCAAGGAGCUGUCAACCCCAAGAGGACAUAAAAAGACUAGCAAAACCUUUAGCUAGGAGAGAGCAUAUAUACCCUACUACUCCCCUAGACUAGGGAUGACAUUGAUGUCAUUGCUAGUCUAUGCAGCCUUUGGCUACUGGUAGUAUUUCUUCAGAUGUUCCGCGUUCCAAGGUCGCGGGGAACAGGCUUUCCCUCUAGAUCUUCCAACCUGUAUGUUCCCUUCCAUAGUAUGACCUUUACCCUGUAAGGGCCUUCCCAGUUGGCACCGAAGACUCCAUGUUGAGGGUUUCUGUUGUUGAGUACAACCUUCCUGAGAACGAGAUCUCCAACCUGGAACGGAUGGGCCUUCACUUUAUUAUUGUAGUACUUUGCCGUCCUUUGCUGAUAAGCGGCUAGCCGAAUCUGUGACGUAGCUCUGAUUUCCUCGAUCAUGUCCAAGUAUAGUCUCUGGUUGGCGUCGUUGUCUACUUUUUCAAAGUAGUCUCUUCUGAACGAUCCAGCUCCGACUUCUAUGGGAACCAUGGCUUCACAUCCAUAUGCUAACACGAAUGGUGACUCCCCAGUCGUAGUUCUAGGAGUUGUGUUGUAAGACCAUAGCACCAUUGGGAGUUCCUCUGGCCAAUUCCCCUUGCUAUCCUCUAACUUUGUCUUGAAGGUGUGUUUGAUGAUUUUGUUCACCGCCUCUGUCUGCCUGUUGCUCUGAGGAUGGUACACCGCUGCGAAGUCCUUCUUAAUUCCAAGGUCAUCGCAAAGGCCUCUCAGCUCCUUGCUGUCGAAUUGCUUUUCGUUGUCCGAGACCAGCUUGUAAGGAAUUCCGAACCUACACACAAUAGAGUUAAAAACAAAAUCUUUAAUCUUUUUGGCUGUGAUGGUGGCUAAGGACGCGGCCUCCGCCCACUUGGUAAAGUAAUCCACGGCUACCACUGCAUACUUCACACCUCCCUUGGCUUUAGGGAGCUCCCCAAUCAAGUCUAUCCCCCACAUGGCAAAAGGCCAAGGACUGGUCAUGCUGGUCAAGGAUGUUGCUAUGUUAUGGGUAAAGUUGGCGAACCGUUGGCACUUAUCACAUGCUCUGGCAAAGUCGAAGGCGUCACUCCUUAAGGUAGGCCAGUAGUACCCUUGCCUCAGAAUCUUCAUAGCUAACGAGUUGCCUCCCGAGUGAUUCCCACAUAUGCCUUCAUGGACCUCCCUCAACACAUAGGUGCAUUCGUCACCAUCUAUACACUUCAGUAAUGGUUGGUUGAAACCCCUCUUAUAUAGUUUGCCAUCAUACUCCACAUACCUUGUUGCUUUGUAUCUUAACCUCCGAGCUUCAGCCUUAUCUUCGGGUAAUAUUCCUUCUUUAAUGAAAUCCCAUAUCGGUGUCAUCCAUGUUUGACGCUCGACGCCGUCUUCUGCCUCCAUGACGUCUAGCUCCGGGAUGCUAGGCACCUCCUGAACUUCUAGUCGAAUCACACCUAAUAGGGCGGCGUCUUUCUGCGAUCCUAAUUUUGCUAAGGCGUCGGCGUCUCCGUUGAACUCCCUUGGUACCUUAUUCACUUGUACCUCCUCGAACUGGUCUAGCAACCUUUGGACGCAUUUAAGAUACAUAGCUGUCUUAGGUCCCUUGGCUUGGUACCCCCCUUUUAUGUGCUCCACCACCAACAUUGAGUCGAGCUUCACCACGAGUCGUCUGACCUUCAUCUCGAGAGCCAGCUUUAAGCCUCCCACUAAUGCCUCAUAUUCCGCGUCGUUAUUAGAUAGUUGGAAGGUGAAGUGAAUUGCAUUCAAGAGCCUGUGUCCCUCGGGGCUUACCAACACUAUACCUGCACCUGCCCCGUCAUUGUUUACUGCUCCGUCGGUGUGCACUAUCCACCAUAGCUCGGGGAUAUCCUCUUUCGGGGCGUCCGGUUGUGGUGGUAGGUCGGGAUCAUACUUGAUUAACAGGUCGAAGUUUUCUCCGUCUUCCGGAAAUUCCAAAAUGAAAUCUGCUAAUGCCUGUCCUUUGAUGGCGGUUCUUGGCCUGUAGUCAAUGUCGAAUCGUCCUAACUCGAUUGCCCAUUUCAUCAUCCUACCCGUGACCUUCGGUUUAUGCAUGAUUUGCCGAAGGGGGUAUGCAGUCCUGACCUCUACCUUGUGUGCUUGAAAGUAAGGUCGCAGCUUUCGGGAUGCAUGUACCAAGGCGUACACCAACUUCUCCAUACUCGUGUAGCGAGUCUCUGCGUCUAACAAUCUUUUGCUUACAUAGUAGACCGGGGAUUGACCUUCCGCAUCUUCCUUUACUAACACGACGCUAAUGGAAUAGUCUGAGACGGCUAGGUAGAGUACGAGUGUCUCACCUUCAUGGGGUUUGGCUAAGAGAGGUGGCUCGCCCAAAUGUUUCUUGAUUUUCACGAAAGCGUCUUCACAUUCUACCGUCCAUUCAAAGUCCUUGGAUGCGCCCUUAAUGGCUUUGAAGAACUCUUUGCAUUUUUCUGAGGACUUUGACACAAACCUGUUCAGAGCGGCUAUUCUUCCUGUCAAGCUUUGUACUUGCUUGACGUUGGUCGGGGACUUCAUAUCUAACAAGGCUUUGAUCUUCACGGGGUUAGCCUCGAUACCUCUGUGGUUGACCGUGAAGCCGAGGAAUUUUCCUGAUUCCACUCCGAAAACACACUUUUGGGGGUUGAGCUUCAUCCUAUAUCUCGUUAGGAUCUCGAACAUAUCUGACAAGUGAGACACAUGGUCGUCGGCUUUCUUGGAUUUGACCAACAUGUCGUCAACGUACACCUCCAUGUUUUUCCGAUUUGAUCCUUGAACAUCAUGUUUACUAACCUCUGGUAGGUUGCUCCUGCAUUGAUGAGUACGAAGGGCAUGCCAAUGUAACAGUAUAAACCUCUGUCGGUGAUGAAAGAGGUGUGCUCCUGAUCAGGCUCAUACAUGGGUAUCUGGUUGUAUCCUGAAAUAGUGUCCAUGAAACUAAGAAGAGCAUGGCCAGCUGUUGAGUCCACCAAUUGAUCGAUUCUGGGAAGUGGGAAACUGUCCUUAGGGCAUGCUUUGUUGAGGUCGGUGAAGUCUACGCAGGUGCGCCAUUUCCCGUUGGGUUUUUUCACGAGCACAGGAUUUGCCAACCAUGUUGGGUAGAAUGAUUCCUUUACUAAUCCUGCUUUCAGGACGCGGUCAACUUCCUCCUAGAUGGCCUCGGCCCUUUCCCCACUUAUCGGUCUGCGCUUCUGCCUAGCACCUUUUUUGGUGGGAUCGAUGUUGAGAUGGUGGCACAUAACGGCUGGGUCAAUCCCAAUCAUGUCCUCAUGACUCCAAGCGAACACGUCAAGGUUGCCUUUCAGGAAUUUUGUCAACUCGCUCCUUACCUCCGGACUCAACCUGGACCGUAUUUUUAGGAUCUUGCCAUUGCUCCCUGGUGUGACUGGUAUAUCGACCGUGUCUUCGGCUGGUCCCGUGUUCUGCACUGGCAUAGGUAGUCUAGGGUCUAGAUCAAAGUCGAACUGCGGUGGAGAUACCUCGUGACCCGAGGGUGUGUCCUUGGGGGUUUCUUCAACUGGUGUGGGCUCAUCCAAUUCCAUCACUACCUCGUCUUCGUUUACCCUCCUGAUUUUCUUCGGAGGUGUGCCCUCUGCCUCCAUGACUUGCUCUUUACAUUCCUCUAUCAUUGAUUCGUGGAUGACAGGGAAUUCGACCUCAUGAGUGACACGUCCUCCAGGUGAUGGGACGACGGGCGCGCCCUCUGUUAGGUCCAGAUACGAUUGUAGAAGGGGGGGGGUUGAAUACAAUCGUCACAAAAUAAUCGCGGCGGAAUAAUCUGAACUGAAUUAAACUUGUUAAUCAGAUUUUAAUUAAUUAAUAUAACAAUGUUUUAAGUCGUUAUAUAAUUAAUAAGGUUCGUUUUAAUGUCCACUAAAAUUCGUAGAAUAAAUUCGACAGGAUGUAUUCUAUUUUAGUGAUUAAAACAACCGAAUGAUCAAAGCACAGGAAACUGUGGAUUUAACGAAUAGCAAGUUACAAACAACUUGAAAGUUUACAAGGCAAUGAAUAACAACAAAUGAAGAGGUUGAAGCCAUAUUUAUAGGCAACACCUUGAACUUGUAUGACAAAGUUGGUAUGACCAUGCUACAAAGAUCAGUAUGACAAUGUGAGCUAAUGUCAUGCUGAAAUGAAAUCAGUAUGACAAUGUGAGCUAAUGUCAUGCUGAAAAUAGAAAUCGGUAUGACAUAUCAGGACAUUGUCAUGCUGCAAUUUUCGGUAUGACAAUCCAUAGCAUGACAUAAGACUUGGAGGUUAAGUUUGAUUCAGUAUGACAAUGUAAGGUAAUGUCAUACCACUUUACUUCGGUAUGACAUACCAUCACAUUGUCAUGCUAAGACAAUUUCGGUAUGACAAUGCAAGUCAUUGUCAUUCCAAUACAAAUUCGGUAUGACAUAACAAGUCAUUGUCAUGCCAAUACAAUUCGGUAUGACAUAACAAUACAUUGUCAUGCCAACUGAAAACAGAACCUUCCAGGGGCGGUAUGACAAUCCAUAUGAUUGUCAUACCGUGCCCAAAAUCAAUAUAAAUUGAUUUUCUUUAAUAUAAUUAAUUCAAUAAUUAUUCACUUAAUUAUAUUAGUCAUAUAAAUUCAUAAAUUAAAUUAAUUCAAGUGUGAAUCAAUUUAAUAAAUAAAUUACAUAACUUAUAUAAUUAUUUUGAGAUAUGAUUCUUUGUCUUGAUUGANNNNNNNNNNNNNNNNNNNNNNNNNNNNNNNNNNNNNNNNNNNNNNNNNNNNNNNNNNNNNNNNNNNNNNNNNNNNNNNNNNNNNNNNNNNNNNNNNNNNNNNNNNNNNNNNNNNNNNNNNNNNNNNNNNNNNNNNNNNNNNNNNNNNNNNNCUUGUUCGUCGAGUUUAUGUCUUCGUAGUUCUUCUUCAUUAGUAACAAUAGUAUGGAAUCUUCUGAAUAAAUAAAGUAUUAAAACUUUAUACCUUCUGGACUUCUGGACGUGCUACAAAAGAUUAUUUGUACACUGAGGCUUGAACAUAUUAAUGAACUUCUUCCAGUGGUGUGCAGCAGCAUCCUGAAAUUCUUCAGACAUAUAAUUUCAAUAAAUCACUUGACGUUCUUCGUACGGAUUCCUUCAACAGUACUUGCUAUUUACCUUGCUUUCUUAUCAGAGUUGAGUUGGUACCUCUUUAAUUACAAAUAGGCUAAACAUAUGCCUUUCAAUCUCCCCCUAUUUGUUUGUUAACAUAACAUGCAAAUUAUCGAGAGGAUAACUCAACUAACUGAUAAGACAAAGGAUUAAACAUGAAUUGUAAAUAGCAAAAAGUUUACUGGUAUUUCAUUAAACAUUCACCAGAAUUCAAACAAGUACAUUAGAUUACAUAAGGAUGUUCUUACUGAACAUAUAUUACAAAUUCCUUAACAAAUCUAAAGAUCAACUUCUCCUUCUUCGACAUCUGAACAGUGAAGGACAGGAGUUGACGGUUCUUCUCUGGAUGGCACUUCUGAUUUAGUGGACUCACCACGCUUCUUACGUUCUCGUGCCAGGGCCAGUUGAUGUAGCACUUCCAAAUCCACAGGGUCUUCGCGGAAGUCUGAUGGCUGAGAUUUUGUAACAUGUUUCAUCUUUCGAAAGUAUUGAGCAACGUUCUUUCGAGUGCAAUAAGCAAGAAUCACAUCAUCAGCAUCAGACUUAGCUUUAGAAGCAAAGCCCUUGGUUCUUAAAAGAGUGGAGGUAAGAGCAAGUUGUUUAGUUGGAUACUUUGACAAGGCAUCUUCGUUGAGAUAGACAGUGCUGAAGAUCUCCUUGUGAACGAACUUAACACAGUAAGGAUUCCUGACAACCUGAGGACUGUUGAAUACAGCUUGUUCCAGCAGUUUGUCACGAAGAAGUUCAUUCAGGUUGGAGCUUCGCCUAACCUUGUUUCGAAGUACCCAGAGCUCAGAUACAGAGAAUGAUUUCAGAGAUUCGACAGAUAGUCUGUAAGAACCAUUCCUCUGUGUAUAGACAAUUAGCUCCCAUUGCUCUAGCAAGUUGUUGACCCCCACUGUUACAUAAUCCAAUUCCAAAGCAAAGGCAUGCAUAAAGACAUCCUCGUCAGAGUUUACCUCUCUAAGAUCAUAGAUCAGAGAUAAGAACUUGUUGUCGUCGAAAGGCUCCCUUUGAGGUCCAUUAAAGAUUCUUCUUGCAAUGUCCCAGCUUUUUCCUUCUUUCCUCCUUAUAUCAAGAUUCUUCUGCUUGCACGCAGCAUCAUAGAUUUUCUGCUUCUCUAUCUUGAUUUGCUCUUCAGUUAUCAACUUGUCCUCUAGAAGUUUCUGGUAAUCACGAAGCUUACGCUUCCUAGCUUCAUUCUCAGCUUUAAACUUCCGGACAUUCUCUUCAUGUUCAGGGUCAACAGGUUCUUCAUCCUGAAACAGAUAGCUCUCCUCAAAUUUGCCUUCUUCCUCUGCUUGACGGUAGGUAGCAUCGAAGACGUCAUCAUCAUCCAUGUCUUGUGGAAAAUCAUCAUAGUUAUCAGAAUCAAAGACAUUCUCAGAUUGAUGUGCCGGCUCUUUGCCUUUAGACUUUCCAGAAUUAUCAGGAGCAGAUUCAGAAGUAUUCCCUUUGUUACUUUGAUUCGAACUAUUGCCCCUGUCACCUUUGUCUCCAUCUCCUCCUCUAUGUCUUCUAUUCUCCCCCUUAGUUGAGGGAUCCUCUCUGGAGGUAUCAGUAUCUGACUUUGAGUUUCUGAGGAGUUGAUCCAGUUUCCUGUCGAUAUCAUCAAACUUUGACAUAUACAGUGCAUGAUUAGAUCUCAUCUCGACAGUCAACGCAUGAAUUUCUCCUUUAAGCUCAUCCCUGGAAGAACUGGAUGGCCUUUCAUCAGCUUUCUUCUCUAGGGUCACCAACUGUGCACCCUUUAGCCUCUCAUUUUCAGCAAUCAUUUGGGCUAAUUCAGCUCUAAGUUUAGACAUUUGUUCCUCAAACAGAGCCGGGUUAGUGUGUGCACUCACCUCACGUACACUCAAAGCUGUUUCACUAGCCUCACGUGCAUGUGUAUCGCUCGGUGUUUGCCUUUCUUCACUCAUAGAAUUCACUCUUCCAGCUGUACCUGUGUAAACUACCAAUGUCCCCUGAGAUGGGUUCAAAGGUAGUGGAGGAACAAAUUGUCCUCCGAAUGCCUGCGAGGGCAGAUUUACUUGCAAGCUGCCAAGUUCCUCCUGAUCAUCAAAGAAAGUGCGAUCAGUAAAGUUUUCAUACAUAUUAAUUGGAUUUUGAAAGUCUGUGCAAUCAGUAAAAAUAGUAACCUGUGUAUCUGUUUGGUCUUGCACUAGCGUGAGUGCUAGCGCAGUGCUUGACUCUGUACAGGGUACCGUGGCAGGACGGUCAACUUCAAUGGCAUCAUUCUGUUGAGAGAAUGAGUCCAGAGACUGUUUCAUUGCCUGUUCCAAGUCCAAGCCUUUUUGGGAAGGCAAGGAUGAGGCUGCAGAUGUCUCCAGGGCUUCCAACCUUGGCUUCUUAAUGGAAGACAGAGCUGCGGGUUGACUCGACAAACUGCUUGUACUCCUCUUUCUGGCAAUCUUACGAAUAGGUUGAGUAGUAGUGAUGAUUGUUGUGUGUUGGUUGAUGUGUUUGGAGAAACAAAUAUUUGUUGAAGAGAAUCUUCAGCUAGGUUAUGAACCUGUGUGUUGUCAGGUUCAUUGCUGGUAGGCUGGAAAACAAAAUCAAGGUCACAAACAAAAUCACAACCAUAAUCUGACGUAUCAACAUUAAAAUUAGAUGAUAAGUUAGAAAGUACCUGAGCUACCUGUAGGUCCUGACGAAAGGACUGCAACUCUGGAUUUGAGGUAGAGUCAGCAGGUAGUGGUUGUGAGGUUGAUUGUGUUUGAGGGUAAAAGUGGGUGUGUUGUUGUUGUGGUAGUGGUUCAGAUGAAGACGGUUGGGUUUCGAAGAAGUUGUAUUCCUGACGUUCGUCUUCAACUGUGUGAGUUUGAUGCAGAGGGGAAUGAUGUGGUGAUUGGUGUGGUGACUGAUGUGGAGAUUGAUGAGGUGAUUGGUGGGGUUCAGGUUGUUGGUGUUCUGGUUGUGGUUGAGGUUGUUGCUGUUGAUGUUCCUGAGCCACUUGAAACUGAUGCAGUUGUUGUUGAGCAUUGAACUGUUCCAACAGGUAUGGAGUUAUGACAAGGGGAACAUUUUCAUGUUUUCUCUUGUUGGUCAGAGACUUCAUCAGUUUUGUACAGGCACGCGGAGUUGGUGCAAUUGGAGAAUUGAAGUAUGAAUUCUUCUCCGCGUCUGUCAUCUUGUCAUUCAGAAAGAGCAUCAAGAACCGAGGGAAAAAGCAUAUCACUUUGGCAUUCUGUGCAACUGAUCGGCUGCUGAGUGGUCCCAACUUCUUUAAAAUCGACUGAAGAAGCAACUUGCCAAAGUUGAUUCGUCGAUUGUAAACAAUACAGAACCCAAUGAUCUGAAGAAGGGAAGAUAUGAUGUUGUAGUUGCUUCGAGUGGUAGGUGAAAAGACUUUUGCCAGCGUGUCGAAGAACAAGUCCCACUCUGGUUUAAGAUUACCUUUCAGCAUUCUCGGCAGAUGAAUCUCUCCUUGAUAGUUAAUGGUCUGAAAGAACUGGACAAUCUCAGCAUCUGUAGGAAUCUCAGCAAAGUUGUCUCGUGGAAAUCCAAGAAUCCUAUUUACAUCAUCCACAGAUAUAGUGAUACUUCGUCCACCACCAAUAUUUCCCGAGACUCUGAAGCUUUCCAGCAAUGUAGUGUUGAUGGCAGAGGAGUAAAAGUCCUGGAGUGGUCGAAUCUGUAAAUCAGCAUGAGCGGUGAUCGCCGUGCUGACUAAACUUUGACUAUUCAGGAAUCUCACCCACGGUCGGAAUCUCACUAAACUGAUAUCAGGGUCUAAGUACCCAUUGUAGUUUGUCUCCCCGAUCACAAAUUGGCCGGCCAUUUUAUAAUUAAAAAUUGAAUUAAACGAGAAUUUUUCAAAUAAAAUGUGAAUUCUCAAAUUUCUCGUAAAUUUCAAUUAAUAAUUAAAUAACAAUUAACCAAUUAAUUAAUAAUUCGAAUUAAUUGAUUAAACUCGAAUUAAAAAUUAAUUAAAUUGUGAAUAGCCAAUUUAAAUCCACAAUAUCCAACUAAGUCUUAAAAUGCUUCACUUAGCCAAAAAGAGCCCUUAACUUUAUCAAAAAUCCCCAAAAAUCGAACUCAAUGUUAGGGUUUCAAACUCAGUCGAAUCCAAACAAGUGUAAAUCGAUUAAUACGGAUAAUGCACGGUCACAGGGUCACGGAAUCGGUACAAAAUCGAUCAAACUCGGUCAGAAACGGGGCAACUCGGGCAAACUCAGUGACUCGGUCAAACUCGGUGAAAUCAGUGCAAAAACGGGUAGAGUAACGGCUUAGAAAUCGAUAAAUUAGUAACCAGCAAGCAAAAUCGUGCUUGAAAUUGAGUAACCAGCAAGUUUUAUGGCAAGAAACUUGAAAACCGAUCGGAAAAGGUGCGUGUAUGUGUGUGUAUCGACUGUAGAAGAUGAAGUGGCUAGUAUGACAAAGCCUGUAUAUGUCAUACGAAUUUAAAACUUCGGUAUGACAAACUCGGGAUAUGUCAUACCGAGAUUUUGAGUGGCAGAAGAGUGAAGGGUCAGUAUGACAAUGUUGAUAUGUCAUACGGGUUCAAAACUUCGGUAUGACAAUUAUAGUAAUUGUCAUGCCGAGGUUAAUUGAAGCUUGUAUGACAAACUUCACAUUGUCAUACUGUGCAAACUCAAAUCAGUAGAACAAACUCGGUAUGACAAUCUUUUAGAUUGUCAUGCCGAAUUAAUUAACAUUAAAAACAAAAAAGUAUAUAAAUAAUAUGAUUUUUGAUUAUCUUUUGCAAUAAAACCUUUUACACAUUAAAUCAAAAACCUAAUACAAAUAAUAUAUAAUAUAUUACACAAAUAUUUUGUAACAAUCAACUUUAAUUAAAUAUAAAUAUUUAUGAAUUUAACUUUAAUUCAUUAAAAUGAAUUAACUUAAAAACUAAUAUUUAUGCUUAAUUAAUUUUGAAAAAUACAAAAUAGACACAAAUAAUUAUCUAAACGCUUGAAAAAAUAAUACAGGGGAGUAUGUAGCACUUAGAAAAUUAACAGUAACAUAUAUGAACAUACAUAAUUACUCAGAAAAUUCACAAUAAUAUAUAAUAAUAUAUAAAACAAAUAUAUAAAAUUUACAAAGAGAAUCAUGGCAUAUUUAACAUCCCUAGCUCACAAACCAACUUAGAGAAAGUGGAUUCAUCAAGUGGUUUAGUGAAGAUGUCAGCAAUCUGAUCAGCUGUGGGUACGAAAUGUAACACCACAGUACCAUUCAUGACAUGUUCUCGAAUGAAAUGAUACCUGAUAUCUAUGUGCUUGGUUCUGGAGUGUUGCACUGGAUUGUUUGAAAUGGCUAUGGCACUGGUGUUGUCACAAAAUAUAGGAAUUUUGUCAACAGAAAUACCAUAAUCAUUUAAUUGAUUCCUGAUCCAGAGAAUCUGAGCACAGCAACUGCCAGCAGCUAUGUACUCAGCUUCAGCAGUAGAAGUGGACACAGAGUGUUGCUUCUUGCUGUACCAGGAAACCAACCGACGUCUGAGAAAUUGACAGCUUCCAGACGUACUCUUUCUAUCAAUCCUGCAACCUGCAUAAUCAGAAUCUGUAUAGCCGGUUAAGUCAAAACCAGUAUUCUUAGGGUACCAAAUACCUAAACCAGGUGUACCCUUAAGAUAUCUAAAGAUUCUUUUGACGGCUAUAAGAUGUGAUUCUUUAGGAUCAGCCUAAAACCUAGCACCACUAGUACAAAAAGGGCCUAUAGCGUCGGUCAAAACAUACUUUUAGCAUCGGUCAAGUGGCGUAGUAUAUGCAGGCGACACUAAAGGUAUGACCUGUUGCGUCGGUUAUUUGGGCGACGCUUAAAAAUAGUCAUAAGCGUCGGUUAUCUAAAAUGCCGAUGCUACAGAUAUAAGUAUAAGCGUCGGUUAUCAGAAAACCCGACACUAUAGGUAUGGACAUAAGCGUCGGUUACCUAAAUUGCCGACGCUAUAGGUGCAUAACCGACGCUAAAAGAUUGGUCUAUAGCGUCGGGUUUGUAAAAUGCCGUGGCCUAAAGUUCNCUCAAAGCCAGGGGGCUGUUCCNUGACCUGUUGCGUCGGUUAUUUGGGCGACGCUUAAAAAUAGUCAUAAGCGUCGGUUAUCUAAAAUGCCGAUGCUACAGAUAUAAGUAUAAGCGUCGGUUAUCAGAAAACCCGACACUAUAGGUAUGGACAUAAGCGUCGGUUACCUAAAUUGCCGACGCUAUAGGUGCAUAACCGACGCUAAAAGAUUGGUCUAUAGCGUCGGGUUUGUAAAAUGCCGUGGCCUAAAGUUCACUUAAAAAUACUUAUAUGUGUCGCUAGUCAAAAAGCCGACACUAAAGGUUAGCCCUAUAGCGUCGGGUGGUCAAAAUGCCGUAGCUUAAAGUUAUACUUUUAGUGUCGGUUCUAUUUUACGAAAUGCCGAUGCUAAACAGUUUUAUUUAUAUAUUUAUAUAUAUGUAUCAUUCGGUUACUGAGCAUUUUAUAUAUAUAUAUAUAUAUAUAUAUAUAUUAAACAUGCUCUUCCUUCGAUCAUGCAAAGAAAUCCAACAAAAAACACCCAAAAUCAACCGAACUAAAUUAAAUUUGAUUAGGAAUCAUAUUAAAUACAUCUAUAAAUGUUGAUAAUGAUGACAUUAUUUCUUUUUACAAUAAAAGAAGCAUUACAAUAAAAGAAAAAAAAACUAUUGCUGGCUCUAUUGAUUAUGUAUCCACGUUAAAGACCUCGACAACAUAUCUUACACCCUUUCGCCGUAGUCCUGUACAUCAAAUGCAGGCCGUGCUUCCUGCCAGGAAAAGAUCAAUGAAUUACUAUUCAAAUGACUAAAUUGUCAAUUAUAAAUUGAUUAUAGCUACAAAUAGAUAUAAUAUGACAUUAAUCAUUAUUAAAAAAUUUAUAUCUAGAUCUGUGGUCCAGAAUAAGAAUCCCCCUCCCCAACCCCGCAGAUAAAAAGCCAAAUACUUAGAAAACCUUCAACUACUCCAGAAAAUCUCUGGAAAAAAACAACUUGAACCACACCAAACAUACCCCUGCUAAUGUCAAAAUAGUGUAAAUCUUUCCAAAUUUGAUGUCGCUAGAAAGUAAUCUUUACAAAUCCCAGGUGCAGGGACUUGAACAGAUAUAUAAUAAAGCUAAAACAGAUUUCAAAUCCCUCUGCUAAAGUCUAGAAGCAGUGAUGAUUUUCGGGCUAGAUUUGACCAUAUAAUUGUCACUAAUACUAUGUAAUCUGAAUUUAAGAAACAAUCAUUUAAGAAAACAGAAUACGAAGAAACAACACGAGAAGGGAAACCUGAUAUCGUUCAUUAAGCAUGAGGAGAUUAUACUGCUUAUCAGCCCUGAGCUCCUGAAGAGCAUUGGCAUUCUGCAGAAAAAAAACAUAAAAAGACAAGUGAGCUAAGUUUAUGGGGAAGAUAAAUGCUUUAUACUUUGAAAAGAUAAAAAAAUGUGGGAGUACCUUGACAGAAAGAUAGUAAUGAGAGGAAAGAAAUAGGAGCAAUAAGCAAUGUCAUAAUCUUCAACAAAUCUGGCUAGAACUAAGUGUGGAGUGCAGGGAACCAUGGAUGUAUGCCUAAAUCAAAUAUGGGGCUCAAGUCCAAAGUAAUUCUCAUGUCGAUGUGUUAGAUAAUAAUAAAAAGAAUAAUAAACGUAUCUGUUAUAGAAACAAUAAAAUUUACUUUUCCAAAUGUACUAACUGUUUUAUACUGAUAAAAUUCCACAGGUUUCCAAGUUCUUGUUGGUAUUUGACUUUGCCAGUUUCAUAAAAUUCUACAUCAUCGUUGUUGACUGUAAAAGAAUUACAUACUUUGACUGGCAAAUGAAUAUACCAUCUUCCUUUUGGCUUNAGUUUCAUAAAAUUCUACAUCAUCGUUGUUGACUGUAAAAGAAGAAUGACUAAAAUUAAAAGCCUAGGUACCAAACAAUAGACACAGGGAGUCAUUAUAUCAAUUUAACAUACCUAUGAAGGUGCAGAAAACAUCAAUUUCAGAAUGAAAAUUAACCAAUUACAGGGAUAUAAAUAUCUAUAAUACAUAAAACAGAUAAACGAAGGCGUGUUAUUCAGAAAGUUUCAUUUAAAAGAAAUAUAGUAGAAUAAGAGAUUCUCUAUGUUAUUACUUGGUUCUUAUAAUCACUUUUCUUCUUUAAUGCUAUUAAGUUAUCUCAACUCCAAAGGUUUUCUUGAUUUAACUGGAACAGUAGCUGGGGUAUAUGUUGGAAUGGAUUCUGGAAUGCAAAAGAUCUGAGGCACCAGACACUUAUUAAUCCCUCAUGCACUUUACAUCAAUAUUUCAUUAUUGAACUCCACUUGGCAGUACUUUAGGUUUAUGAUUAUAUUUACAAGAAGGGGUAGUGCUAAAAAAAAAACAAUUGAAUGCAGAAGGGAAAAUUAUAAAUGUUGUAGAGGUUUUCGAGAUUAAGUAGUUAAUAUUAUAAAGCAUUGGAAUACGCAAGUUCUGAUCAAGUGCUUUAGUUAAUAUAUGUGAUUAUCGGAGAACUCCUUUAUCUUAUACUCACAUGUUCAGGCUUGUAUAUGAUACACGAAACAGGAUUAUGGCUGGGAUAAUUUACUAGAUGCCUAAAAUCAGCAUUGACGAUUGUGAUCUUUUAAGCUUUCUUCAGACCAUCAAAAUGCUGAAAAUUUUCUUGUUUCAUAGCCUAAUAUCCUCACCCUCUGCUCUGCAGGAUUGUCCUGACAUAAUUUGUUGGUAUUAUAGCAACAAAUGCACAACUUAUUAAUCUAUUAGUUCAUGGAAAAUCCAUGUUUAGUAUGUUCUUGCAUCCACUCUAUAUAUCAUUAACUAAGGCAUAUCUUCCUCCAUCAAUAGAUGCAACAUUCACGGGGCCAAACAGAUCCAUAUGCAACAGAUGAAGUGGAUCUGUAAUGGUAUUGAUGGUUUUGCCUUUGUGAGAUGCUCUCUUCGCUUUUCCUUUCUGACAAGCUUCACAAAGAUCAUCAGUUGAGAAUUCCAGGGAAGGCAACCCUCUCACUAGAUCUCUCUUGACUAGAGAGUUCAUGGUUUUGAAGUUGAGGUGUGAGAGCUUCUUAUGCCAUAACCAACUAUCUUCAGCAGACGCUUUGGCGUAGAAACAGUGAACUUCGUUUCCUGGUCCUGAAGAUAAAUCGGCUACGAAUAUAUUGCCUUUCCUUAUGCCACAUAGUGAAGGAGAGGUUUUCGAGAUUAAGUAGUUAAUAUUAUAAAGCAUUGGAAUACGCAAGUUCUGAUCAAGUGCUUUAGUUAAUAUAUGUGAUUAUCGGAGAACUCCUUUAUCUUAUACUCACAUGUUCAGGCUUGUAUAUGAUACACGAAACAGGAUUAUGGCUGGGAUAAUUUACUAGAUGCCUAAAAUCAGCAUUGACGAUUGUGAUCUUUUAAGCUUUCUUCAGACCAUCAAAAUGCUGAAAAUUUUCUUGUUUCAUAGCCUAAUAUCCUCACCCUCUGCUCUGCAGGAUUGUCCUGACAUAAUUUGUUGGUAUUAUAGCAACAAAUGCACAACUUAUUAAUCUAUUAGUUCAUGGAAAAUCCAUGUUUAGUAUGUUCUUGCAUCCACUCUAUAUAUCAUCACUUCAUUAUACUACAGCAACAUAAAUAAAAAAGCCGGAAUUUCACAAUAUAAACAGCUCAAUGAUAACAAUAAUUAAACUAGACACUGAUCAACACACACUCAAUUUCACAUAAACAUUCUACAAACACCCUCAAAAUCAAAUCUUUACCACAAAAACACAUGAAUGACAGCAAUUCAACUAAUACCCACAAAAAAAACAUCAAAGAAGCCAAAAUGCGAACCUUUCCUUCGUGCUUGCUAGUGCGAACCUCAGAAGCAGAGCAAUCAACAAAGAAUCAAUCACAGUAGCAAACCCUGAAUCUAAAGACCAGAUAAUCCCAAACUCGAACUUAGUAACACAAAGAAUCCUAAAUCGAGGUAACCCGGUAGCAGCCCCAAAAUCGAGAGUAAAAUCAACCCCUAAAUCGAGAAAACCGUGUCGCAGCCCUAAAUCGAGAGACCCCUAACCCACAAUUAAACCCAGAAGUGGGGAAGCCCGGCAUAAUAAAACGAUCUGUAGUUGGAAUUAAUCGUCUUGUACUUGCCAUAUCCCACAGUACGACCUUUGCUAUUAUCAGCAAAACUGACUGUAGGGCCAGCUCCUUCUCUUAUGUCCUCCAGCAGGGAUUUAUUGCCAGUCAUGUGCAUUGACGCUCCACUGUCAAGCACCCAGGUAACACGAACAAUUCCACUGACACCCUACAAAAGACAUACUUGAUUAAACAUUCUUUGGGACCCACACUUGAUUGGGUCCAGCAAACUUAAAGAACUGAUUUCUAUCAGGUGUAACAACAGAGCCCCUUGGACUGAUAUUUGGUUCAGAUUUGACUGAACUUGAGGGUGAUGUAGAGUAAUUAAUCGAUGGUACAGUAGAGAGGGUGGAGAUUUCUCGGCAGCAGGACGGAGUUUAGAGCAAUUAGAAAGAGUCCGUAGUUGAAGAGCCUACAGACAUUUUAGAUUAAUUUCAUUUUUAAAAUAAAUGCAGUUACUCUUACGUGGGGUGAUUAUGACCCAGCAUGCCAGCACAAAGGACUUUAGACUUAGAGAUUAAUUUAGAAUUUUGUAUUCUAAUUUCAGUUAUAAUUUUAAAAUAUUUAUAUAUAAUUUUAUAUUAUAAUAUAUUUUGAAAUGUAUAUUAUAAUAUAAUGUUAGAUAUAAUUGAUGAUUACUAAUGUUCUUAAAGUUUGUUUUAGAACAGGAGUGAUCAGAGUUUAAGCUGGAAGCUGAUCAGAGUUUGCUAAAGUCUGAUCAGAGUUUACAUAGUCAAGGCUCGUCAGAGUUUACUGUUCGCAAAAAUCUACACGCAAGCGCACGUGAUCAUAAGUAAUAUAUUUGUUCGUUCCCACAGAGACUGGUGAAUUAAGAAUACGCACCUAUGCAACAAUGUAUGAUCAAUUUUCACUGCCAAGACAAUUAACAAGGAUGGUUUCUUUUAUACUAAUAACUAAAUUUACUAAUCAAAUUCAGAAUAGGAAAACACAUGGGAUUCUAACUUCAUUAUCGAAUUCAUCUAGAAUUGAAAUUACUGAUUAACAUGCGACUGUUGAUCCUAAUCAGACAACACGAAAGUAAUACAUGCCAACUCUCGUUGCACACAUAUCAUACCAAUCAAAAUCCACAAUUAAGACAGAAAUCUCAUGGACACCAACAAAGCUCAGACCCUAUAUCUCUAUAGCGGUAGUGUAAGCAGAGAGGUUUAAUAACAAGUCGUCUAUCGUGAUUACACAGGGUGAUAAAAAUAGUUCAAGUCUACCACAAAUUAUGUUUCAUUCACAUAAUCCUAUGUUUACAUGGCAUAGUUCUAAAUUCAAUCAUCCACUCUCGCUUCAGAAAGAAUUAACAAACAACUUAGAAGUUAGCUACGCUCCUAAGAAGAAUAAGCACGGCUCAUGCAAAGAAAUCAACGUAUGUCACACAAUCAAGCAAUAAAUAUUCGUUACUAGACUACAUCGAUAAAUCCAUUAGAAUCCCAUGAAGGCGGUUAGUUCAUAAUCGAACCAAUCGACAUCAUGGGUUCUAAUGAAAACAUGAUAAAUAAAAGACGAGAAUUAAACGGAAUAAAAGUGCUUGAAUUAAUAAUAAAGAACACAACGUUACAGAUUUGAUGUUCACGAUCUCGCUCGAAACUGUCACUUCCUCGCGAAGAACGAUCCAAUACAAAACUGAUAAUGUGCUUGAUUACAAGAGAAAAACUGAUAAAACUAUAUUCCGAUAUUCUACGAUACAAGUGAGGCUAGGGUUUUUACACAUGAGAAAUUAGAUACAUUGACCAAGUCAACCGGGCCUUGACCGCUGCUAAAAUCCAUCAGAAAAGCUCCAAAAAUCGGCCCGGAACAACUCUGCUGGGCGCGGCCGCGCUAAACUAGCGCAGGCGCGCUAGUGGGACAGUAGCUAGCGCGGGCGCGCUAAGAUCUAGCGCGGGCGCGCUACUGUCUGCCACUGGCAGCCCGUUUCUUCGUUUUUUAGCUCGUUCUCGCGUGCAUGCCCUUCCUCGCUCUAGUACCACUUCCGUAGGUGAUCACGGUUGCAUUUAGCACAUGCAACAAGCCCUUUAAACCCCUAGAUAGCUCUAGUGGACGAGUGUGUUCUCGUGAGGGUUUGUAGAAGAUGUACCCACAAAAUCCCAAGUCGUGAUGAAUCCACAAUUCUCCAUUCUUGCAAAUAAUGCACCAAAAACAACCUAAAAUGAUAGAAAAUCACUUCAUCACCUCAACUCGUGACCUGCACAGAAAAACAAUAAAAACACAUCAAAAGACACUAAACACUUAAGUACAACCAACCAAUUUAAGUGGAAAUGAAGGCCUAUAAGUGUGUAUAAAUACCACUUAUCAUUUACACGUGGAAAGAGCUAAGAAGCGGAUAUACUUCAAGGAAGGAUAGAAGCAGAGGAGUGAUUUGCUGACUAUGGAAACUAAACAGAAAACAGUAGCAAUCUUUGAUUGAUAGAAUACAUAGCUGAUUUAUAGGAUAUCAAAUCAGAGAUUGAUUUUGUAACUGUGUCUAUAUAAACACAGAUUAGGGUUACUCUAUAGGAGUAGAGUUAUCNNNNNNNNNNNNNNNNNNNNNNNNNNNNNNNNNNNNNNNNNNNNNNNNNNNNNNNNNNNNNNNNNNNNNNNNNNNNNNNNNNNNNNNNNNNNNNNNNNNNNNNNNNNNNNNNNNNNNNNNNNNNNNNNNNNNNNNNNNNNNNNNNNNNNNNNNNNNNNNNNNNNNNNNNNNNNNNNNNNNNNNNNNNNNNNNNNNNNNNNNNNNNNNNNNNNNNNNNNNNNNNNNNNNNNNNNNNNNNNNNNNNNNNNNNNNNNNNNNNNNNNNNNNNNNNNNNNNNNNNNNNNNNNNNNNNNNNNNNNNNNNNNNNNNNNNNNNNNNNNNNNNNNNNNNNNNNNNNNNNNNNNNNNNNNNNNNNNNNNNNNNNNNNNNNNNNNNNNNNNNNNNNNNNNNNNNNNNNNNNNNNNNNNNNNNNNNNNNNNNNNNNNNNNNNNNNNNNNNNNNNNNNNNNNNNNNNNNNNNNNNNNNNNNNNNNNNNNNNNNNNNNNNNNNNNNNNNNNNNNNNNNNNNNNNNNNNNNNNNNNNNNNNNNNNNNNNNNNNNNNNNNNNNNNNNNNNNNNNNNNNNNNNNNNNNNNNNNNNNNNNNNNNNNNNNNNNNNNNNNNNNNNNNNNNNNNNNNNNNNNNNNNNNNNNNNNNNNNNNNNNNNNNNNNNNNNNNNNNNNNNNNNNNNNNNNNNNNNNNNNNNNNNNNNNNNNNNNNNNNNNNNNNNNNNNNNNNNNNNNNNNNNNNNNNNNNNNNNNNNNNNNNNNNNNNNNNNNNNNNNNNNNNNNNNNNNNNNNNNNNNNNNNNNNNNNNNNNNNNNNNNNNNNNNNNNNNNNNNNNNNNNNNNNNNNNNNNNNNNNNNNNNNNNNNNNNNNNNNNNNNNNNNNNNNNNNNNNNNNNNNNNNNNNNNNNNNNNNNNNNNNNNNNNNNNNNNNNNNNNNNNNNNNNNNNNNNNNNNNNNNNNNNNNNNNNNNNNNNNNNNNNNNNNNNNNNNNNNNNNNNNNNNNNNNNNNNNNNNNNNNNNNNNNNNNNNNNNNNNNNNNNNNNNNNNNNNNNNNNNNNNNNNNNNNNNNNNNNNNNNNNNNNNNNNNNNNNNNNNNNNNNNNNNNNNNNNNNNNNNNNNNNNNNNNNNNNNNNNNNNNNNNNNNNNNNNNNNNNNNNNNNNNNNNNNNNNNNNNNNNNNNNNNNNNNNNNNNNNNNNNNNNNNNNNNNNNNNNNNNNNNNNNNNNNNNNNNNNNNNNNNNNNNNNNNNNNNNNNNNNNNNNNNNNNNNNNNNNNNNNNNNNNNNNNNNNNNNNNNNNNNNNNNNNNNNNNNNNNNNNNNNNNNNNNNNNNNNNNNNNNNNNNNNNNNNNNNNNNNNNNNNNNNNNNNNNNNNNNNNNNNNNNNNNNNNNNNNNNNNNNNNNNNNNNNNNNNNNNNNNNNNNNNNNNNNNNNNNNNNNNNNNNNNNNNNNNNNNNNNNNNNNNNNNNNNNNNNNNNNNNNNNNNNNNNNNNNNNNNNNNNNNNNNNNNNNNNNNNNNNNNNNNNNNNNNNNNNNNNNNNNNNNNNNNNNNNNNNNNNNNNNNNNNNNNNNNNNNNNNNNNNNNNNNNNNNNNNNNNNNNNNNNNNNNNNNNNNNNNNNNNNNNNNNNNNNNNNNNNNNNNNNNNNNNNNNNNNNNNNNNNNNNNNNNNNNNNNNNNNNNNNNNNNNNNNNNNNNNNNNNNNNNNNNNNNNNNNNNNNNNNNNNNNNNNNNNNNNNNNNNNNNNNNNNNNNNNNNNNNNNNNNNNNNNNNNNNNNNNNNNNNNNNNNNNNNNNNNNNNNNNNNNNNNNNNNNNNNNNNNNNNNNNNNNNNNNNNNNNNNNNNNNNNNNNNNNNNNNNNNNNNNNNNNNNNNNNNNNNNNNNNNNNNNNNNNNNNNNNNNNNNNNNNNNNNNNNNNNNNNNNNNNNNNNNNNNNNNNNNNNNNNNNNNNNNNNNNNNNNNNNNNNNNNNNNNNNNNNNNNNNNNNNNNNNNNNNNNNNNNNNNNNNNNNNNNNNNNNNNNNNNNNNNNNNNNNNNNNNNNNNNNNNNNNNNNNNNNNNNNNNNNNNNNNNNNNNNNNNNNNNNNNNNNNNNAAAGUUUAAAACUUUAUACCUUCUGGACUUCUGGACGUGCUACAAAAUAUUAUUUGUACACUGAGGCUUGAACAUAUUAAUGAACUUCUUUCAGUGGUGUGCAGCAGCAUCCUGAAAUUCUUCAGACAUAUGAUUUUAAUAAAUCACUUGACGUUCUUCGUACGGAUUCCUUCAAUAGUGCUUGCUAAUUUACUUUCUUUCUUAUCAGAGUUGAGUUGAUACUCUUAAAUACAAAUAGGCUUAACAUAUGCCUUUCACCCUCGGUGUCACUCUCCAGAUAUUGAACAAAAUAGAUAGUGUGGACUGAAUGGAGCUCUUCAUGGGGUGGUAUCCCUCUUCUAUCUUGAAAAUUUUUGAGGGAUCGGCCGUAGCAAUCGCGAGACUCAUACUGAGACCCCUUCACACAUCCAACUUGGGGAACUUUAAAGUGAGAUGAUAGAUGGAGGUGACUAUCCUCAUGUCCUUCAAGAGGGGGCGUCCCAUUAGUGCGUUGUGUGCUGACGGGUGGUCGAUGAUUACGAAUUCAGAUAUCUGAGUGGCUACUCGUGGAGCUUCUCCUAGGGUCACAGGUAAACGGAUGGUUCCCUUGGCUUUAAUGGCCUCUCCUCCAAAGCCAUAUAUGUAAAGAUUCUCCGCCGUCAUGUCCUUGUCUGGUAGUCCCAUCUUCUUGUAGGUAUCGUAGUAGAGGAUGUUAACCGAACUCCCAUUAUCCACGAAUACUCGAUGAACGUUCAUGGUGGCGAUGCGCAUGGCGACCACUAGGGCAUCGUUGUGGGUCAAAUGUAGCUCUUGUUCAAGGGGUAAAACACAAUUUACUCUCUGUCAGUCAGAUCUGUGACAGAGGAUAUCAUGUUGAUUUCUAUGAAGAACACAGUGAGAUAGUAAGCAAGUCAACAGGCAAGGUGGCAGUGAUUGCUCACAGACAUGGAAACAUUUAUGAAAUCAACUUGCCUACAAACUCUGAAGGAAAAGCAAUUUGCUUAUCUACAAAAAUCUCUGCAGAAGAAAGUUGGAAGUGGCNAUCCAUAGUCUCCCCUUUGAACACCCUCGGGGCCCUGACUGACAGAUGAUUCACAUUAGUAAGGCGGUAGUCCUUUGCCUCCUUGGCGUAUCUCUCCAUCGCUUUUCGACUACCCCCCUAUGUAGGGGCCUCCAAAUAUGCUCCUAAUGCUGACCUCCCUCACAAACUGGGUAUCGUUCUGUUUCUCGUCAUCCUUGCCUUCUGGUGACCUUCCUCGGGCGCGCCUUUCUGGCGGGUGGUCCAUUCUGUAUUUCUUUACCCAUUCCGUCAAGUAGCCUGCCCUGAGUAGCUCCUCGAUUUCUUCUUUAAGGUGCCUAUAAUCCGCGGUGUUGUGCCCGGCUGAUUCGUGGAAGUCGCAAUACUUCUUCUUGUCUCUGGCAACGUUAUAGGGAAUAGGCUGCGGCUUUCGAAAAGGGGCCUUAUCCUUGCUUACUGCAUAGAUGUGCUCGGUUGACGCCACGAGAGGGGUGUAUGUGUUCGGUUGUCUCGGGGGACUCCAAUUUCUUCUAUCGCUUGCCAUGUGUAUCCUCGCUGAGGAACGACCGCGUCCUUUUGGUUCUGGACUAGGUGUAUAGUCCUUUCUCUUACCUCUUGACUUAGCAAUUUCUUUUUGAUUUUCAGCGAGUGAUUGCUCUACCUUUUUGAAGGACUCAACUGCUGCGUAUAGCUCUGACAGGUUAGACGGGUCUUUCCCUUGGAGAUGUUUCCAGAAGUCAGUACCGACCUUCAAGCCAGCGAUAAGGAAAUUCUUCAAGGUCUCGUCCGACGCCCCCGUAACUCCCAUAGACUCCUGGUUGAAUCUCUUGAAAUAUGCGGUCAGGGACUCGUUAUCGCGCUACUUGACGUUAGCCAAGGUGGUGACCAGUGGAGCGUAUUUGGUCGCGGCCUGAAACUGCGUCAUGAACAUUCGCUGCAUGUCUACCCAAGAAGAGAUCACACCUUCCCCUAAUUUCUGAAACCAUUGUUGGGCGCUUUCCCUUAGACUUGCCGCGAGGAACCUACACCUGACGAGGUCCGGGAUCUGAUAUAAGUCCAUCUCAAUGUUGAAUUUGAUUAGAAACUCUCGGGGGUCCGAAUUACCAUGGUAGCGAAGGUCUGCGUUCACGUGCCUGAAUCCUGUUGGAAGCUGGGCGUCACGAACUGCAGCAGUGAACAGCGAAGGGAUGUUUGGUACUGCGGUGGAAUGUCCGGCUUGUAGGAGGGCAAGUAAUUUCUUCAGGUCUUCUCCAUUGAUGGCUCCGAGUUCAGGGAUAGUUUGCGUGGUCGUUUGGGUAGUAAUGGGUGUGACCAAUGUGCUGGCGUUAUUAGCCAGGGUAGUGAUAGGCGCGGCCACUGUGUUGACAUUGCUUCCGUGGGUCUGAAUGACAACCGUAGCAAGGGUCGUCUGUGUACCCGGGGGCGUCUGUUGUGGUUGGGUUGCAGUGGCUUGUUGGUUGGUCAUGAUGGGAGUGGCUUGAUGAGGAUUAGUGAUAAUAGGGAUAGUCUGCGGAAGAUUGGCUUGGGGAGUCGCGCCCGUAUGAUCUUGAGGAGUGGUUUGAAUGGUCACGCCCGUUUGUCCAUUAGGUGUAGUUUGUUGAAGAUUGGCUUGAAGGGUCGCGCCCGUGUGGCCAUUGGGAGGGCGUGACCUUCUCUGGUCUUGUUGGUUUGGUGUCUGCUGGCUAGACUCGCUCUGUGACGGGAGGUAUUCAAUUAUGGGUGGUCCGCGGCCUCCUCUUCCGACCGACGUAUGGUUUCUGCCUCUCCCCCUUACUCCCCGGUAGGUUCUGCCAGCACCCGUGUCACGUCUUUGCUCCGAGGGCGCGCCUUGGGUCCCCUGGCGUCCUCUUUGUUCCUCUUCAGCCAAGUGUACGAUCAUGGCUAGGCUGUCUUGUGUGAUCCCCAGUCUCUCGGCCAACGGUCGGGCAUUUGUGCUUUGAUUUCCUACCCCUUGCCUCGACCCUUCUGGCUGGGUUAUUGGUAUGGCCACAGUCAAGGGCGCGCCCUGAGUGCCGUGAGCCCCUUGAUUGACGGUUGUUCCCUGCGGAGGGUUAGCACUGGGAGUUGCAUCUCCAUAUUCCAACAUUCGAGGUGUAGGGCGCCUGAAACAUCUGCGUCCUCUCCUGCCGUGGCUCCUAGAAUGGUGAGAAUGUCUGGGGGCAAGUUCUUCGAGUAUGGACUCCAUGGUAUUCAACCUCGUGUUGUACCUUGCUUGAUUCUGUUCCAUUCGGUGAAGGGCACUAAGAAGCUCCGUGUUACUGACCACAACCGGAGGUGGGUUGUUUGGCAGGGUGCGGGGGUCCUGAAUGUGCACCGGCGAAUAUGCCUCCACUGGUUCAUCUUCGACAUAGUAUUCACCUUCAUACAAAUCAUCAUCGUGAAUCGUCAUGUCUUCCUCUUCGAGAUUUCACCUCCCCUCCUUCUAGCGCCAAUUUGUUGAUAGAGGAAUUUGGUGAAUCAACAAACGUGAGGUUCGUUGUCGGACUUAGGUGUUUCACGGUGGUUAUAUGACGGAAAUCCGCCGUGGGUGGUGGUUUUAGGUGUUUGAGGGUGGCUGAGAUCAAGGGAAUAUAUUUCUGCACUCAUUCUCACAACUCUCGAUAUAUCCCCUUGAUGUGCCUACGUACCCCUUUAUAUAGGGGAUCAAGUCGUACGUAGUUCUAUUGAACCAAGACUCCUAGUUUGAUCAGAACUAGGCCUCUUGGGGAUAAGACCAACCUUGGGCCGGUGACUUAUCACUUAGAGUUCUACUCCAGUUAGAAGUAAGCCUUGAGACAACUACCCUAGACUCCUAGUCCAAGUACAUCACGGAUACGGCAUCAUCUCCACUACGAGAGAUGACACUAACCACUACUUUUCGUAGCAUGGAGGAGACAUCGGAUAGAGCCGUGACCACUUCCUUGAGGUGUAUGGACGUGUCCUUACCCCCUAGUGAAUGUUCCCACUAAGAGGUAAGACCAUUGAGGAGCCAAAUUACACGAUCGUCUCAGUCCCCCAAUGAGGGCUAACUCACCAGAAUACAGGACCCAUACAUAUGAUCGGCCUUCAUGUCACCCCUGAGGGCCUUCUACAAUCAUGAUCACCCCAAGCCCCCGCACGAGGACAACCCGGCAGAUAGCAGGAUUGGGGAUUAUAGAUCACGCCCGGUCGUAACCCGGGAACUACCAGAUGAGCCUGAUAACUUCCAGAUGAGCUUGGCACUAGUCUUCAUAUCCCUCAGAAAGGUAGAUCUUCGUAUCCCUCGGAAGGGUCGUCAUUGAGACUCACUCAUCCUUCCACAUAACAAGUUUACCUGUGGGCGCGACCAUGGAGGGCGCGCCCUUUGCCUUCAUUAUCUUGCCUCCUCAUCAGCAAAGACCAUACCUUCUUUCAGACAAGGGCCGCGCCCUCCGGGCAGACCCCGUGAAGGGUGCGCCCUCCCUGAUCAUCAUACACUCAAAUUCGGCCACAACACACGAAACAUUUUAUGACAUGUUCAAUAGAAUUUUCGAACAAAUUCUUAAUUUUAAUUAAAAAUUUAUAUGAAAAAUCUUGUGUCUCGAACUCGAUUAUAUAUUGAAAACUUGUAUUUCUUUUCUUUAUAUCUUGAAUAUCAGUUAUGUAUUAUAUCUUGAAUACCAUCUAUGUGUAUUCAAUUCGCCCAUAAACACCAACAUCUUAUGAUAUGUUCAAUUAUUCGAUGAAUAAGUUUUUAAUUUUAAAUUUUAAAGAGUUCAUUAAAAGAUAGCGCGUGAAUGAUUUCUAGUAGCUAAAUUUAAGAUUCUCUCUCCUUUCUAUUAAAGAAUAUCUAAGUUAGCGUUAAUUAUUUUUUAUUUCUCUUUUCAAGAUUUAUCCUAUAAUAAUAAUAAAAUUUAAAUAGAGCAAAAGUAUAGAAAGUAAUUAAGGUUGAAGUUGUUUAUAUAUUUAAUGUAUAAUAUUGUUAAAGUUAUAUUCUAUAUUAUUUCUUAAAAAUGAUUAAGAUUCCUACACCAGAUGUUUCGUUACUUUCAUAAAUUAUAGUACAAUAAAAAUGGAUAUUAGGCCUAGAUUUAAAAGAUUUAAAUGAAUUUUACAACUGAAAUUUCAUAAAAAUUUUAAGGGGAUUUGAUAAAAAUGUCCACCUUUUAUCAUGUUUAUUGCAGACUUACGACCUGCCUCAUAUUAUUGCAAAAAUACGUUUUCUUUAUAAUUUAAAUUAAAGCAUUUGCAAAAGUAUGCAGUUUGUUCUUGCUUCAGCAGCGAGUUUCAUCAUCUACAUCUUCUCAUCUCCAAAACUUUCCUUGCGAUUUCUCCUCACGCCGCCGUGGAAAACACCAUUCUUCGGCCCCUUUUUGUCAGGCAUCUCGUCUCUUCCAUUCUCCCUGCCCUCUUUCUCCCAUUUCUCUCGACGCCGCACCAACUUCUACCUCGUAAACCAAGCCAUCGACGACGUGCAGCCCUCCAACUAUGAGGUCCCGACCUCCCAGCGUAUCAACGAAUCCACUAAAUUUAAAAUCCACGCCCCAUCCGCCUAAAUUGGUUAUGAUUAUACCGGAGACGGAAGUAGAUCCCCAUCUUCUACAUCUUAACUUGUUGAUUUUAGUUGAUUUUGUGAUUGUUUUUGGUUAAUUUUGUGGUUGUUUUUAUGUUAUUGUUAUAAGCCAUGCAGGGGCAUUUAUUUUUAGCCAUUUGCAACUAGUUGCGACUUAUUAUGCAACUAAAACUUAUUUUCAAAAGAUUUUUUCAAAAUUAUAUUUGUGGUAGCAUAUAUGGUUGCUAUCAGUUGCAGAUAUGGUUGCAUAUGCAACCUCCGUAUUUUCGUAAUAAAAUAUUUUUGCAAUUUAUUUUGAAAAAUAACAUCGUAAAAAUUUAUUUAUACUUGGAUAUUUAUGAAAAAAGUCCAAAUUUAAUACUCCACACGUUUUAAGACUCCACACGCUUUUUAUACGAAAAAACACCAAGCUAACUAAACAUACGUAUUCUUGAUUACCCUAACCAAAAAUUGACGUUGACGGGUAGGUCGAUGUUAGAUAUCAGGACGAAGCAAUUAAGUAAGGCGACCUCGACCUACGUCUGAUGGGAGAUAAUUAAUUUUCCUCUUCCUUCGCUGCUAAGAAUCACAAAUCUUAUCCAUCACCGUCCAUUUUGUUCGUCGACGCCCAGAAAAAUAAAUCAGUAGACGCGUGUACGUGUUUUACACAUUUAUUAUAGUGUCUUUCGACAUAUACAUUUGUUCCUAUAAAUCUAACCCCAACUUGCGAACAAACCUAACCAUCAACGCUCGGAAAAUCAAUUUUUCUACCCUUGUGUCUGCUCAACAAACUCUGGAGCAAAGGAUGACUUCAGUUGAGGCCUCCGUAUUUUCGUAAUAAAAUAUUUUUGCAAUUUAUUUUGAAAAAUAACAUCGUAAAAAUUUAUUUAUACUUGGAUAUUUAUGAAAAAAGUCCAAAUUUAAUACUCCACACGUUUUAAGACUCCACACGCUUUUUAUACGAAAAAACACCAAGCUAACUAAACAUACGUAUUCUUGAUUACCCUAACCAAAAAUUGACGUUGACGGGUAGGUCGAUGUUAGAUAUCAGGACGAAGCAAUUAAGUAAGGCGACCUCGACCUACGUCUGAUGGGAGAUAAUUAAUUUUCCUCUUCCUUCGCUGCUAAGAAUCACAAAUCUUAUCCAUCACCGUCCAUUUUGUUCGUCGACGCCCAGAAAAAUAAAUCAGUAGACGCGUGUACGUGUUUUACACAUUUAUUAUAGUGUCUUUCGACAUAUACAUUUGUUCCUAUAAAUCUAACCCCAACUUGCGAACAAACCUAACCAUCAACGCUCGGAAAAUCAAUUUUUCUACCCUUCAAAAAGUAUUCAAGUCUUCGAUUAAAUUUAUCAUCAUGCCUUCACCACCGCAUCACCACCACCACCAUGCACCCCACCACCACCACCACCCCCCACCUCCAGUUGUUGUGGUGGCUCCACCUCCGCCACCCCACCACCAUCAUCCUCACCACCAUACUCCUCAUGUUGUCGUCGCACCACCGCCGCCUCCGGUUGUGAUUGUGCAUCCUCCUCACCAUGGCCACCACAACCACCACCAUCCCCAUCAUCACAAGCACUGAGUUGUACUGGGCUCAUCAGCCCUUCCAUAUAUAUAUAUCUAUGUACUCUAGCAUAUUUAUUCAUAUAAAAUGCUUCGAAUAUGAGUAAACCUCACCGCCUGCGUUGUACUACUCUCGUUCUGCUCAUCAAUCUCACCGUGAAGAUGUUCGUAUCGAGCUCCCCGUUGCAGCUGCUCUUUAGUCUGUGGUCAUGUUUAUGGGCAUGUACAAGUUUGUAAUAAUUUUCGAUGUUGUAGCAGUACGUGUAAAAUUACUAUCUAUAUAUAAGGAAUAAAAUUAAGAGACGAUAUUAUUGUAAUUUUUUCGAUAUUUUGCUUGGAUCCUUUCAAUUCUUCUGAUCCGUGAACGAAUCUUGUUUUUUUUUCGAGUUGUUUACAUAGCAGAUGAAGAAUAUGAUGUAAACCCUAGAACCUAAUUUUUCUGGGGAACAAGGGUAUAUAUACUAGUUAGAACCAAUCUUUUUGGAAAAUAUUAUAUUUUCUAAAAUAAAUGAAAACGAACGAACGCACAAUGUAAUAUUAUACUGCGGUGUAAGUUAUAAUUAAGCAUCCAUAGUUACACUGCGCACAUAUAUAGGUGAAGAAAAGGGUUCGUCAUAAUUGACAAACUUAAACUGCUAAUCCUACGAGACCGGCGUAUAAAAAUUCUAAGUUUCUUAUCUGACAACUCUUUUAAUUUAUAUUACUGUAUUAUGUAAAGAAGCACGUCCCGAUCAUGUUAAACUAAUUAAACACACCACCAUCUUUUUAAUUUUUCCUAUUAUUCCGUGUUACUCACGACAAAUUAGAAUAGUCAAUGGACAUCUCUUAAAAAUAAAGAUUUUUUUUUUUUUUUAUCAUAUAUGAACUCAGGAUACGUUCACAGAUAACAUAUAUGUAGAAUUAGUCUUACACAGAUAAAUUCUGAAUCUAUACUACAAAGCAAUUGAUUUCUAGCAGUGGAGGCACACAAAGUAUUAUGUGAUAGAAUUUGAUCAUGGCACCACCUCAUAACCACCACCAUCAUCAUCAUCCACCUCCAACGCAUCACCACCACCACCACCCACCCAUUCCGCACCAUCAUCACCACCACCACCCACCGCCACCACCACCUGGUCACCACCAUAACCAUCACCAUCGUCAGGACAUGGUUAUCGUCGUACCACCACCGGUGUUGCUGCCAAGGUCACCACUCGGAUCCUCUUCGACCCCACUUCUUGGUUACUCAGCUGACCAAUCGAAUGUUUGUUUGUGUAUGAUGUUUGUUAUGUUGUUUGUGUUCCUUCUUGGUUUCUUUUUUAUCAAGGUGUGGCUCUAUUAAUUAAUGAACCCUUGGUGUAAUUUUACAUGUUAAUCACAUCAAUGUUUUGGCCAAUUUAGUGUAUUUGUUUCAGUAUGAUGAUGAACAAUUAAGCACCAAUAAUAAUACGAAUAUUAAUAGCUUGUUAAAUAUCAAUGAUGAACGAUUCUCUGUGUGUUCAUAAGAAUGGUACGAAUAUUAAUAGCUCAUUUUAGGACAAGUCGUUCCAAGUAACUAUCAUAACAAUAAUACGCUGUAAUUUGAUUACACUACCAUGGGGGUUCCAAGUUCCAACCGUUAAAUAUAUAUGAUUCGCUUUAAUCAUACUCAGUAUACGAAUAUUAAAUAGAACCGAAUUUAAUUAUUUGUUAAACUUAAUGACCAUCCUAGUUCGAGUAUAUACAGAAUUAAUUGAAAUCAAACUCAGAUUUCGUUUAUCAUUAUACACAGAGAAGUAUUCACAGUUAUUUAGUGAUUUAUGCUCCUUUAGUUUCUUUAAUUCGGCUCCCGUGAGUAUUUCGUAAAGUUUACCAUGGUCCCCCAAACAAUCUUAGGAUCUAUUCUACCAAACUUCAUUUAUAUCCAUAGACAAAACGAAAAUUGGCAUUUUGGCAUUCUGAUCAGAUAUACUGUAUGCACUACAAAAAAAUAGGACAGAACCGACCGCUUAAAAAAAGUGUCGACUUAAAACUGGCUGGCAGCAAUCGGUCGGUUAUGAGACAGCACGAUGUCGUUUUCCCUUGCUGGCAAGUUCCAGACAUUUUUUAAUCGAGCACGAGAACAACGGUCGAUUUUACGGCUGACGUGUACGGUUCUUAACCGAUCGGUUGUCGGUCGGUUUUAAUUAAUUUAUUUAAAUUAAAUUAUGGCCCGGUUCUUAUGACCGGGUUCUAACUCAUAAUUUAUUUAAAAAUUAAUUAAAUUUUCAAAAUAACAUAACCGACCGACAAUCCGGUCAUUUAAGAACCGUACACGUCAGCCGUAAAACCGACCGUUGUUCUCGUGGUCGGUUAAAAAAAUGUCUGGAAGCAAAAUGACGUCGUGCUGUCUCAUAACCGACCGAUUGCUGCCGGUCGGUUUUAAGCCGACACUUUUUAUAGGCGGUCGGUUUUGUCUGAUUUUUUUUAGUGUGAGGAAAAUUAAUGUGAUCAACUGAUUUUUAAGUCUCCAAAGUUCAAUACUCUUCAACAUAAUUCUCGAAUUCAAAUUUCUAUAUAAUAACAUCAUGCAUGUUAUUUCAGACUUAUGAAUCUUCUACUCUUACAUCCUGCUAUCCCAUUGUUACAGGUGAUAUCAAAUUGUUUUGUUUUAUUAUGUUUUGUUAUGUUUUAUUUUUAUAAUUACAGUUGUGAAAUAAGUUUUUAUUGUUUUACUGUGAUAUUACAGCUCGCAGAAAUUUAAAAAAAAAAAUAAAAAAAUUAAAACUAGAAGCUAGCCUAGGUGAAUUUUAUCCGGCUCCGUCCUUGUAUGCAUAGGUUCACUGCUGAUUCCGUCUUACAAACAUCUACUGCGAAAAUAUAUGAAAAAUAAAACUUUUAAGUUUCCGUGUAUAUGGAGUGAACUAAGUUUACAAAGGAUGAUUUAUCCCAAGAAUAGAACAACAUUUACUUUACAUUUUAUAAGGUCGUGGUACGCCUCCCGUGCAAGAAUAGGAUCCGGUUGGUUUGCAAGUAUUAAUCUAGUUCAAGACCAUCACGGCUUUGACAAAUUAGACAACGUGAAUUUUCCUCUCUAUCCUAGGGCUUACAUCUCUUUAUAUAUCUAUGUAGUAAUUAAGCUCUUAGCGUAUUCUUCUUUACUACCUCUAGCUCCUUUUUUUUCAAGGUUUACAAAAACUUAAUAAUGUCACCGCCUCAUAACCAUCACGCCCCACCCCACCACCACCAACCCCCACCCCNNNNNNNNNNNNNNNNNNNNNNNNNNNNNNNNNNNNNNNNNNNNNNNNNNNNNNNNNNNNNNNNNNNNNNNNNNNNNNNNNNNNNNNNNNNNNNNNNNNNNNNNNNNNNNNNNNNNNNNNNNNNNNNNNNNNNNNNNNNNNNNNNNNNNNNNNNNNNNNNNNNNNNNNNNNNNNNNNNNNNNNNNNNNNNNNNNNNNNNNNNNNNNNNNNNNNNNNNNNNNNNNNNNNNNNNNNNNNNNNNNNNNNNNNNNNNNNNNNNNNNNNNNNNNNNNNNNNNNNNNNNNNNNNNNNNNNNNNNNNNNNNNNNNNNNNNNNNNNNNNNNNNNNNNNNNNNNNNNNNNNNNNNNNNNNNNNNNNNNNNNNNNNNNNNNNNNNNNNNNNNNNNNNNNNNNNNNNNNNNNNNNNCCACCACCAUCCCCCACCACAUCACCACCCGCCGCCGCCUAUUCGCCACCACGACACCGUUGUUUUCGUACCACCUCCAGUACUGCUUCCAAGAGCACCACGGCCAUCCUUGUCAAUUCCGCUCGUCGGCACCUCGAUGCGUAGCAGAUACAAUCCUUGUUUGCCCCUUGUGUUACUACUCAUUUUCUUCCUCGUAUUAGUUAUUGUUUUUCUGGUCUUGUGGUUUUAGUAAGCCAAUGCUACAAAUUGAAGAAUAAAUAUAUGUAACUCGGUGUGUGAUUUUUUCUGCUGUUCUUACUAUGUUUUCCUCAAGUCCUCUUGUAGUUCAUUGAUAAUGAUUUCGGAUCUGCGAAAAUCGUCAAUGCUUAAUAUUAAAUAUGAUAAUCACAUGCCAAGAGUUCCCGUGGAAAAAUUGCGCGUACUAAUGAUCUGAUCGUAUCAAUUUAUUAAAUUUAUUGUUUGGCCAACUGCUCUGAAUUCUGAUCAUGUCCAUGUGUCACGCACUAGUAUGCACUGAUAUGUGAUAGUAAAAUUAUUAAUUUUUCUUAUUUGUGUAUAUAUGUCACGUACGGUAGAUACUAAAUAUUUUGUGAAGGGGAGAUAAAAGCUCGCAAAUCGUACAAAUUAGAAUAAUAAUUUCCAACCCCACAGUCCAUACAACACAUACAUGACACAUCCGAGCACGAUAUAUGAGAUUUAUGAUCUCAACUACAAUUUCAUCUACCAUUCAAACUAAACCAUUAAUUAUGUCACUUACCAUUCACGCGACUUUGAUGUUGAGCAUGGACUAUGAUGGCGCCAUCCACCUACACUUCCGUUGUAAAUAACUGCUCGCAUCUUUGUCAAUAUUAAUAAAGCCUCGCUAGGUGUUCUAAAAAUAAAAUGGGCCAAUAAUUCAGAUAAACAUUCAGAAUUUUACUUUACUCAGUUGAUAAUCCGACUCGGGUCAUAAUCAAGGCCGACUCGAAUUAAAAUUGGAGUAAUUUAGAUCAAAAUUGGGUCAACUCUAAUCUUAUAUUAAAAAAUUUUAAAAUGGAGAAAAAUAUCAUUAAACGAAAUUCCAAGUCAGUAACCUAAUUAUUUAGUAUUUCAAAAUUUUGAUAUGACACUAUAAUAUUUACAUUAUUAUAAUAAUUAAUUUAUAAUCCAAUGAAAGAAUUUGAUUUAAACUUCUUUUUAAUACAUCCGAUUUAAUUCACUCCUACUCUCUCGCCACUCUUUUUAAUACAUCAGAUGUCAAGAACUGUUAUCGGUGGUGGAGGAUUAUAGUAGUAGAUGUGUAUGUGUGUCGUGUUCUUUACGGUGAUGGUCGAAUUGGUUGAGGCAGGGAUGUCAAUUGUGUUGUAGGGAGGAGGGAGAUGGCCAUAAGUGGGGGGCUGGACAUUGAAAAGAGAAGGUACUAAAAAUUGUGUUAUAUGUAUGUGGGUAACUCUUUGUAGACGCCGCUUUUUAUUGGUUACUUUUAGUUAGUUUCAUGGUUGCUUUUGUGAUAUUAGUUUUUGUCCAGCAAGGGAACUCAUUUUCGUCAUUUGCAAAUAUACCACAUUGUCUAAAAUCUUGCAAAUAUACUAUCUUUUUAAACAUACAAUCAAUUAAUUUACAAAAAUACUAUUUUCACCUUCCUAUUCUUUUCUCUCUCCUCAUACACUCUCUGUCCUCUCUCCUCGUACUAUCUCUUUCUCACACUCUAGAAAUAUAGAAAUCAAUCAUUGUGUCCCGACUCCAUCGACGCCGCCCAACAUCGCAUCCUCCUGGCUUGCUCAGCUCCAUCUCGGCAUUUCUACAUCGCUGCACACACCAGCACAGCCACAUCGCGGUCAUCUACAACGAUCGGCGGCGGCAGCACACACCACCAGUCCAACCCCAUUUACACAUCCCACUUCUUCUUUAGGAAUCCUUAUUUCGACAACGAGACGCCGCUCAUCAACCACCGGCACCUCUCUUCCUUAGCAUCCAUCAACAGCCGAUCACCACAAAAUAUACAUACAAAUAUACAAUAAUUCAUCACAAAUAUACUCCACACCAACGGUACCUCUUCUCCUUAUGAUGCUAAAGAUACUAGUAUUGUUAUCACUCUCCAUCUUCUUCAUCUUAAUCGGUUGAUUUAAUUGAUUUUGUGAUUUAUUUUUAGUAUCUUGUGGUUGCUUUUGUGUUAUUAAUACCGUCAUGUAGGGGCACUCAUUUUUCACCACUUGCAACUUAUUUUGCAAUUAAAUAUAAUUUAUAACAUAUAUUUUCAAAGUUGUAUUUGUUGUUGCAUAUAUGGUUGUAAUUGCAACAUCCGUAUAUUUGCAAAUGGGUUUGUCUAGUGUGUGCCCAUGAGCACAUGCUAAGCACAAAAUUUUAUAUGUUUAGACCAUUUUGAUUGGUGUGGUUGUUGCAUUUGCAAGAGUGGCAUCAUUAUUAAUAAGUAAGAGGCAAUCAAAAUAAGUCAAAUUCAUUAUUUUUUAGUGCUUAGCAUGUGUACAUGGGCACACACUAAAAAAUUUGUUUUUGAAAACUCCCCUAAAAAUAAAAAUAGAGGUAGAUUUGAACACUUAAAGCUAAAAAAAGCAGAGCAGAGUACCAAACUAAAAGAAAAGAAUAAAAAAAAAUGGAUGAUAAUGAAAUACACGUCAUUCGGUACAUAUUUAUUUAUCUGUUUCUAUAGACCUAGUAUUACUCUUAUUAGAUAGAGCCAUCGAGAUAAACAGAGUUUUGAUUUCUAGACUACUAAGGUGUCUAAGAGGAUGGUCCCGCGAGUAGUUGCCGCACAGAUCUACGGUUAUAUAGUAUGACUGACAUUUCAAGACGCACUACCAAAAUUGAAGUGUAAUGAUUAUUUGACACAAUAAGAUAAAUUAUCAUUUUACAAAAUAUAAAAUUUGAUUUUAAUUCAAAAUAUUUUAAUAUAAAGUUUUUAAAUAAUAUUAAAAACUUAAAAAAAAUGAUUCUAAAUAUUUUUUUUAAUUUGGAUAUUUCUAAUUCCGCUAUUGAAUCAUGUUGAAAUAUUUUUUAAUCACAUUAAUUUUUGAAAGAAAAGCAUUUUAUGAUCCUGUUUAUGAUUUUUAAUUAAAAUUUACAAUUAUAUUUAAUAAAAAUAUAGUUAUUCAUUGUGGCUGGAGUGGCUGAAACUUAAAUUUUGUAAAAAUUCUUGGACAUCUUUAAUGUCAAAAGAAUUUGGGAAAUAUUUAUUAUAGCCAAAUCUAGAUAGAUCAUGAUGGACUGAAUAUGUCUAAGGAUGGGCAAGGUUCAUACGCAGAUUGGGCAAAGUUCAUACGUAGAUUGAGCCAUUUGGCAGUGAGUUCUUUGCCAAGUAGGAGUUUAUAGAGCUAUACAAGGAGAGAGUUCGCCCACUAUGUAGGAACGUGGAAAUAAUUAUGCUAAUUAGGAUGAAUGUCCUUCCCUUAGGAGCUAGGGGUGUGUACAAAUAAACACUUUGAAGAAUUACCCCUCUGGCGGAUGAUAUGAAAAACAUACUUUUUGGAGGAUAUGAAUACUAUGGCAAGAUCUCAUCCGCCGUGAUCUAUAACCAUCAAUCAUGUAUUCUGCCAGAUAAUCCUCGUGCAGGGUUUUGAGGUGAUCCGAUUCAUAAUUAUUGAAGGCCCUCCGGAGUAGUAUAAAGAAUGAUCUUGAUCAUUCUUUAUUCUGGUAGGUUAUUCUGAUUGGGGGUAAGGACUCAUCCAUACACAUCAAGGGAUGUUAUAUCAACCCUUUUUUUUUUUAAGAGGACUCAUCCAUACACAUCAAGGGAUGUUAUAUCAACCCUUUUUUUUUUUAAGAGGACUCAUCCAUACACAUCAAGGGAUGUUAUAUCAACCCUUUUUUUUUAAGAUAGAAAAACUGACGAUGAGUGUUUUUUCUGAUGAUUAGGUUAAUACGCGUGAUGUAUUUUGAUAAGAACGAGGUUAAAAAGCCUCAUUAUUAAGCUUUGAUGGACUGGCUUCUCUCUCUGAAUCCAUCGGAAUAUAUGGCUUAAAAAAAAGACCCCUGAAUAUUCUAGAAGACUCGUCCAGGCUGUGGGCCACCGUCUUCGUUAUGAGCUCAUCCACAAAAAAACCUAUUUUUAUUUAACUUAGGUUUUUUUUUCACCAAGAACUUUGUAUCACUCUCAAUAUAAGAUACCUAAGCACAUUAAAAAGAUCAAAAAUUGAGAGGAAGAAGUAAGCUACAAUAUAUUUGAUCUCAGCCAUAUAUAAACACAUACCAUCAUAAUCUGGCUGAUUUCUCUCCAAACAACCAGCGUGAUAGAUUUUUUCGGACGACGAGUCUCAUGUUUAUUGAUUAUCAAAUUUCUACGUAAGCAUUAAUAUUAGAUGAUAUUAAUUUAUAAAAAGUAAUUAACUAAUUAUACAUACAAGCUGUGACCCACAAACUCAAUUUUCCAUUUCCAUUUCCAUUCUGUCUUCACACACUUAUAUCAGGUCGGUUAAUAUUACAUCCAUCAAGUGUCAUAUCGUUAAAUAUCCAUAUUUAUAAACUGAUGAAUUCGAGUUGGAACUGAGGUCGGCGCGAAUAGCCAUCUUGCAAUAAUAGCCAUCUUGCAAUAAUAACCUAUGCCUCAUUUGAAAUUGUAAUAAUUAUAACAAUUUAUUGUUGGAUAACUCAAAUGAUUAAAAGUUUAUUUUUUGUCGUCUCAUCUAGAAUUUAUUAGAAGAGAUACUAAAUUGUUAAAAAAAAAGUAUUUGUUAUAUCUAAGAGUAGCUGAUUGAAAAUUGUUUUGAAACAGAUCUAUGUUUGAAAAAGUCUGUUUUUUAAGUUUUCCAGAAGGUGUUUGAGGAUUUGUAACUAUCAAAUCUUCACAAACACAUUAUUAUUUUUAGAUUAUAUUUUUAAAAUAUGUAUGUUUUUUAUUUCUGAAAUUUUAGUAGAACACACUUUUUAGGAGAACUUUUUUAAUUUUUUUGUUUAUUAUUUUAAAAUCCACCUGUUCUGUUAUCAUGAUAAGACACAAAUCCGAGUGUGCGGCCACUGAGACAGCAGAAAACAUAUGGAUGCAAAAAUUUGAAACGUGUUUAGCAAGUUUUAAAAAUCAGCUAUUGAAAUAAAAUUCAAUUCUUCCCAAUCUCGAGAUUCGGAGUGGCUCAGCUUGGCUAUAUAAACAGCAGUGGACAAGGCAAAGAUUAUUCAUACUCUCAUAAAAAAGAUAACAUUUGUCUACUCUUCAAAAAUUUACAAACUAGUCCCUAAGUUUGAGCAACAUGCCUUCACCACCCCACCACCACAACCAUCCCCAGUCCCACCCCCACCCUGCACCACCAGUGGUGGUUGUCGCUCCUCACCCAGCACCCCACCACCAUGCCCCUGUGGUGGUCGCACCGCCACCGAAAGUCGUGGUUGCGCAUCCACCCGCUCACCAUGACCACAAGCACAAGCACUGAAUUACACCAGGCGCAUGAGCUUAUAUUUUCUGUCAUCUAAUAAAAUAUGUACAAGUACUGUACGUGUUCUCUGUUUGCUCUAUAAUCUUGUAAGGUAAACCUAUGUAUUAGAAAUAAAAUCGUUGACAAGUAAUUUGUUGUAUUGGUCGUGCUGUGCUUGGAUCAAACAACUGAUGAAUAUAUGGAUGUCCUAUUAAAGUAGGUUUCUUGGAUCAAACAACUGCUCUAUUCUCUCUUCUUCCAUUUUUCUUAGUCUUUGGAUGAAAAAUAUAAGUCUCGUAAUCCAGAUGCAAGUUAAUUAGAAGAAUUUACCAAAUAUAUUAAUCUCGUCUUCUUUUCUUUGAGUAAUCUGUCCAUCCGGGUAUUUUUCCAUUUAAUAAUAAACUAGAUUUCAACUUCUUAAACUGUAUUUCGAAAUCCUUAAAAAACACACGGAAUACUAAGGCAUAAGUACAGUUAUCCGAUGAUAUUACACACAUGACACACUGGACAUAAGACAGUUGACAAGAAACUUGGGACACACUUAGGCAUAAAAUAGUUGACAAGAAACUUAGCCCGAUCAUGUUAGCAGUGUUGUAUUCGGCGAGUUACGGAACUGUGAUGAAUCGUGAUUAAUCACCGACUUUUAGAACAGAGCCUGCUAGUAACUGAAUCUCGGUUUAAUUACAUCAUUUUCUUUAAGAUAGAAGCUAGCCCCCCCCCCCCCCCCCCCCCCCCCNCCCCCCCCCCCCCCCCCCCCCAAACAUUGGAAAAAAACUUUGGUAAAAUCAACCAAAAUCAAGACGUCUUUAAACUUUGGUAUUGAAAUAGUUCCUCUUCGUACACGUUAAAUUAAAUGCAACCUAAAUGUAACUAAGAAUAAAUUCAAAUUUCUUACCGAAAAAAUGAAAAAGAAUUAUAAUAAUGGCGAACAUAGUUUUGCAAAUAUAUUAUUCAGACCAUAAUUAAAUGGCUUUUAUCACAAUAUUUGAUAAAAACUGUUCUGCAAAUUUUAUAGGUAUAUAUUAAAAUCAUCAAAACAAAAUUAAAAUUAGAUUAAUCAAAGAGCUUAUAUUAAGUUUUGAUGUUUGUACGUUAAUUUAGUUUAUAUACGAGUACUUGCCUAUGUAUACAUGUACGCCACUAAUCAAAUAAAUACUCUAACCCUAAACCUCAUCUGCCCCAUUUUCACUAUUACCUGCCCCAUCUUGUAUCCUACUCUAUCUUUAUCCAACCCCCAGCUCUCAACUACAACCUUCUUUCGCUGCCCGUCAUCUGUUUCCCACACCACCAACCCCUUGCCCCGAUCUUCCUUUUCAACAACUCCAAUCUCUUGUUUGUGCACUUUUGAUUACACAUAGCCCCGAUCUUCCUUUCUGACAAUCUCCAAUCUUGUUAGCCCAUUUAUUAUCACCCCUAAUAAUUGUUGUGAGUAAAUUCCGGCAUCAUUCUUCAUUAAAAGUGACGAUGAAGAUGAAAUAGAAAAGGAUGAAAUAAUGGUGUGUAUACGUAUAUAAUAACUCUAUAUCAAGUUUCACUGAAUUCUUUAUAUCAUUUAGUGAUAUAUAUUAGUGAUUUUUGUAAUAUAAUUAGUGAUUGAAGUUUGAAUCUAGCAAUUUUAAGAAAUAUGUCAAGGAAGUGAUUUUAUGUAAAUUAAUGAUUGUAGUGGUUAUUGAUCAGGGUGGUGAUGAUCGAAGAUCAAUUUAUAUAUUAUGUAUUUAUUUUUAUAAUAAACUCGAACAGUCACUAAAUAUUAUUAUCAAAUAUUAUUGUUAUAAUUAUUGUUUUCUAGUUUUUCGUGCAAAAGAGUUUUUCAUGGAGUAAAUAUAUUAUGUUAUAAUAUAAUUUAUAUAUUAUUUUAUAAUUAUCAUCUUUCUUCUUCAUCUUAAAGUCAAUAGCCUCCAUCAUGUUGCACCUCUGUUUAGAUCUGGUUAAUUUUUGUUCUUAAACAUAGUUGAAGAAGAUGAUGUCAAUUAUAAUGGAUUGUCCUGCAACUACAAUGGAUUAUGCUGCUAUCAUCGUCUUGCAUUUUCAUUGUAUAGAUAUGUACAAUAUGUAAUGGGGUGCAAAACAAUUCAUUGUAAUUGCCAUCAUGCUCUUCAACUAUGCUUAAGAACAAAAAUUAACUAGAUCCAAUAAAGGUGCAACACGAUGGAGGUUGUUGACUUCAAGAUGGCAUAGAAAAAUGGUAAUCGAUGAUGAACGAAGUGGGCAAACAAUUACAUAAAUGUGCAGAACAAUUGCAUAGCACUAAGAGAUACAUAAAACACAAUACCAUAAUUGAAGCCUGUGAUUAUAGCUGAUGGUCCGUAUUUUAUACUGUAUAUCAAACAUUCACUCACUAAAUAUAAUUAAAAAAUAAUAAUAAAAGAAAAAUAAUAAAGACCGUUAGAUUAAAUAUAAUGAAUGACUAAGAUGUUGGUCUCCAAUACUAAAAUAAAAAUGUGGUCCAUAAGGAACUUUACUCAAUUAUUAUAAAUACAUUACAACAAUAUAAAUUUCAAAGUUUUCUUACUCAGCUUCACUGUAAUUUUAGUAUCCCAUGAAUUUAAUAAUUAUCAUUUUAAUUCUUUCACAUAUAUUAAAAUAUAGAAAGUAUAUUUUAAUUUUUAAUUUUCAAAUUUUGUUAUUUCAAUUUAUUCGAAUAUGUGAUUUUUUUCCAAAAAAUAUUAUUAAAAUAUAUACUUCAUGUAUUAACAAGUAGAGCGAAAAGAAAAGUAAACAGAAAACCUAUUAUUGAUAGGGUUUUGCUUGUGGGCACAACAAUAAGUAAGGAUUACGACGCGUAGACAUGGACCUUGACUGGUAGCUACGUCGAGGAAUAGAAGCAACACUAUAAACACCCCGUGACAGGUACGCCAUUUUAUUCAUCACCAUCCAUUUGUCCAAACCGACUUCUCGAAAUUAAUAUACCAGUACUAUGAUUCGGAUCAUAUUUUGUUGGACUAGUUUUCAUUUUGAAGUUAUCUUCUGACAGAUAAAUAUCUUGCCUGGUUUAAUUUGAUUUUUUAAGAACAUCUCUGAGAGCAAGUAAAUGAACAAGUCUUUUAUUAAAAAUAAUUUUUCAAUUAUCUUAAUAUAGUAGUUUAUUUUUAAUAUUAAUAUUCAUAAGUAUAUAGUAUAUUUUAUAAAAUACAGUAAUCUUUUAUGUCCUGAAUGGCCUUUAGCCAAACUCCACCAAAGUCAAACUUUUCUAGCUAUAAAAUAAUGGCCCUAGCUAAUAAAUAUUUUUAGGUAAGAUAGAAAGCAAUAGCUAUUAAUAUUAUUAAAUGUUGUCGACAAAACGUUAAAGUCCGUCUUCAUCAAGGAAUUGUAAAUAACUGUGAAUCGAUUUUAUCCCGUAAAACUAAUGCUUUACCAGUAAAGUAAAAUGCAAAAUAUGUAUACAAUACAUGUAAAAUAUUUGAUAAAUUUCUAUGUGAAUGAAUUCAUAUUAUAUAGUACUCCCUCCGUCCCUCUGAGUUGUUUACCUCUACACUGUUUGCACACAUUUUGAGUCUCCUAUAAAAUAAAGCCGCAUAAUUUUUUUUAAAACUUUUUUUUUUUGAAUAAAAGUUUAAACAUCAAAAUUUUAUUCAGAGAAAAAAAAUUUAAAAAAUAUAUUAUAAAACUACACUUUAAAUUGAGCGUGGAAAAACAUGCCGAAAAGUAUCAUAAAGAAAUGAGAAGGACAGAGGGAGUAUAAGAUAAAAUUUAUAUUACAAUAAAACAGUAGCUGCUGAUGAUUAGCCUAUAUAUUCAUGAAUAAAUAUGACAUUUAAAAUACAUAAAGCCAAGAGAACCGGGAAACGCUAGAUUCGGGUGCCUUAAUUAGAUGAAUUUUGAAAAUGAUGUCUUUUUUUUACAAUCGUAAAAUAAAAAUUUACAUACAUUCAAUCAAUAUAUAAUAUACAAUGACAUAAUCUAAAAUAUUGUUUUAAGAUUGAAAACACCAUCAAUUCAAAUGUUCGAACUUUAGUGAAAAGAGAAAAAUGAACUCACGCGUGUAUAUAAGGCGUGAGUAUUGGAUUUCAACUACUCCUAUAUCUUUGUAUCUUAAAUAUAAGUAUUAAACAACUCCAUCACAUUAUAGUGAUAAAAAGAUUUAUUUUUAAUAUAAAUAAAUAAAACAACUCCAUUAUUACGUGGCUUUGAACGAGGAGCCAAAAAAUAUGCUCGCUGGACGACGAGCAGAGGAAAAUAUCCCCGUUGCCUUCGGUGACGAUUCAAAUAUGGAGCUACUUUUUGUUUUCUAUUCAUAAGAUUCAGUUUUUUCCUACUAAAAGAUAUUGUGAUGGUAUAAGCCAUACCCAUUAGAAAAGAAAAAGUAGCUCCAUCCAAUACUGGAGAGUAUGUUUUCUCGUAAUUAAAUAUUGAGAAAAUUAGGCUAAUAAUCGAGCCAUAUAUCUCAUAAUUCCUUUUUCAUACAAAUACCCAUAUAUUCCUAAUUAAUAUGAACAACACCAGAUGGUGUUUAGACUAGAGGCCCAGACACAUUUCUCUUGGUAAAGGAUUGCAAUUUUUCCUUGAUUGCAUUUUCCCUUUUGGCCAAUUUUAUAUUUGUCGAAACUCUUCAAUAUUUGAUAGUUCAAGAUUAGAGCUCAUAAAAAUAUGACAUGUCAAGGAAAAGUACACAUCAUCAAUCUCAGUACACUUAGGAUCCAAAAAAAAAAUUUAUGUGCAUAACUCAAAUUUGUCACUUCAGGGGAAAUAUCCUCUUCUAGAGGUAAUACAACUUAUUAGAGGUAAUACUACUUAUUAUGAUUAUGUUCUAAACACUUUAUGGGCUCAAACCUCUUCAUGUGGUGAUACCACUUCCACGAUAUUUCUUGGAAUGUGGGUAUAGCGGUUAACACACUUCCAGUAUGAAUAUAAAUCGAUUAUCAAUUCUUCUGGAAUUGAUUUAUUAGUAGGGAUUUCAAUCCUUACCGGAGCUUUAACAACAAGUACAUGUGUACAUGUCUAGAAUCACUAAAAAUAUUUGAUAUUUAAUUAGCAAUAUUUAGCAUAUGAAUAGUUCUAUUACCUCAAAUUCACAUUAGUUUGUGGGUCAACAGCAGUAGGCCUGAUGCAUGCCAUAAUAUUUUAGAAUUUUAUAUUUAUUAAAAUUUAUUUCACCCUAAGAAAGGAAGACAGAUUCAUAAAAUUGAAAAUAGACAUAUUGAGUAGUAUAACAUCACCAAUAUAUUGUCCAUGAUAUCUUAUAAUAGACGUAGAAUAGAAAACAACAUAUAUACCAGUUACAUCCCAAUUUAAUUCUUAAUGGUGUUAAUAUUGAACAUAUGCCUCACAACUAACAUAUAUUUCAGUGACAUACAAUGAGAGAAAAUUGGGCUCAUAAUUUAUUGAUUUGAGCAAGUAAUUUGGUAAAUGUUAUAUUUUGGGUUGUAAGUAAACAUACAUGGGGACCACCUGAAUGAGGCGUCAAUUAACACCAUAAAAAUACCUAAAUGGGCCGAAGAUAGGUUGAUUGGACCAUAAAUGUCACUUUGAAUUCUUUCUAAGAAAUUUAGAGACUCGAUUUAAUGUUUGACUGAGAAUGGUCGGGCAAUCGAUUUUUUCAAAAAAAUUGCGAACAAUAAAGUUCAACUCUGGGUAUUAAUCUUAUAUUUUUAAGAGGAUAACUCAAUUCAAUUUUAUGUAAUAUGAUGCAUCACAUGUGCUCAUAUAUAUAUGAUCGAGUCUUUUGAAACCAAUUUUAAAGUAUAAACUAGAAAGUAGAAUAAAAAAUUAAAAUAAGUAGACGCCAAAAAACAUCUUUUCAUUUUACAAUUCAAUGUCCAUCCCCUCUAUCAUUUGCAUAAAAUUUCGGUGAUUCUGAUCACAGUUUAGAGAAUUUAGUGUUAUUGAUGAUGUAAUAGUUAUAUAUGAUGCGCUGGCGGUGGUAUAGUAGUGACCGUGAAGUGGUAAUUGAUGUUGGUCGUUAUGAUAUUGAAUUUAGUGAUAUUAGUGUCGUGGUUAUGAUAUUUAAAUUUUAGUGAAUGACAAUGAUGAUAUAUUGGUGUUGUUAUAUAUAAAUACAAAAUAAUGAUUCUUGUAAUAAAUUUUAGGGAUUAUUGUAAUAUUAUUUAGAUAUUAGAGUUUAAAUAUGGUAACUCAUGUUCAUGUGUCAUGAUUAAAUUUCAGAUUUUAUAAUUUUUGUUGGAAGUAAUUUAUGUUGUAGAUGGUGGUUAGUGGAUAGAAAUGACGAUAACAAUAACGGAGUCAAGACGAGUUAAUUAUUCUGAUAAUUAUGGUGGAUGGAGGUCAGAUUGGAGAUGGUGACUAUAAUCGAGCUAAUUAUUGAUAUCAAUGAUAGAGAAAGAGGAUGAAGACUUUGAAAUAGUGGGAUAUAGAUACAAAUAUUUUUUUUAAUGAUAGUGAUUAUUUUCUAAUUUUUAUCUUUACAGGGUUUGUAGUGUAGUAAGACUCCAUAUUUGUAUAUUUAUAUAUAAAGAGGCAAGUGCUUAAAUGAGAACAAUGCUUAUGUGAAAUAGGGAUCUAAUCUCAACCACACAAAUUUGAAGCUGCUUUUAAUCUUAUCCAAUUAUUUAAAUCUUAUCAUCUCCAUCUCUAACAAUCACCAUCUUCUUACCCCUUACCAUUUCCACCAUAACUUUCGGCCACACCCACGGCCCACUUUCGCCUCGCUAGCAACCUCUCACCAUAUAAUCAUUAAUGUUGGCUAUUCUUCCCUCACCAUCCUCUUUAUAUCCCCUUCAUUUUAUCUCACCGGCAAGUCAUUGUCCUUGACCAUCAUUGAAGUUUGGCAUCCGCUUCAAUCUACCUCUCCUCUCCGCCAACCACAUCUCCGUUGUGGUGACCAUACUGAUGAAAAACUGCUGCUCAGCUCUAGGAAAUUUAGUACAUCCAGAUCUACACUAUUAUUAUUACGCGCUUAUAUUUGGAGAAAAUCUGUUGUGGUUAAGUAUUAUUUUGUGGUAAUUUAUGUUAGUUUUUCAUUUUUUAUUACUCUCAUCUAGUGACUAUACAAAUAUAUGGUUUGGUUGUUUUAGAUGGUGGUGGUUUCCGGUAUGAUGAUGAUUGAUGGGUGAUGGUGGAUUUUGUGUGCAUAUGGUGAUUUUAGGUCAGAUCUUGUAAUUUUGCACUAUCGUGAUGAUACGGAGGGGUGGGUGGUGGUGGUGGACGAUGUACUUGGGAGGAAGUGGCUAUAUGAUAGUAGGAAUUGUGUUGAUUCUAUUGAAAUCGAGUGAUUUUCUUAUGAAGAUAAUGGUGAUUUUUUGUUGCCAAUUAUCGAAUGUUGUGGUUAGAUCUCAUAUAUCAAAAUAGAGCCAACGUGUUUCAAAACUCAUCCUUACACGCUUGCACCCUCUUAUGUAUUUGUUCACAUUUUAUUCUAAAUUAAAAAAUAGUCAACUAGAUACUAUUUUAAAAUCUAAAUACUUUUUUCCUGUUUCAAGUUAAAAAAUCGUCAAACAAGUAUUAUUUUGAAAUCUAAAUACUUUUUCUUAAGACAAACCUUGUGUGACAACUGAUAUAGUAAAUAGUAAUAUAUCAAUACAUAUAAAUAUAAAUUUAUGUAAUAACGACUCAUAGAUUAUAUUAAAAUAAUUGGAUAAAACUCAACUCUGUAAACUGCAAUUUUGACUCCCAAGUGGUUCGCAUGUAUAUAUAUACACACACAUGAGAGUACACAGCAAGGAUUAUUACUUGUACGCCAGAAAAAAAUAAAUUUUCCUCUAUAUUCCAAAAUUUAGAAGCUUUUCCUUAAGUUUCAGGAGUCAUGCCUUCACCACCUCACCACAACCAUCCCCAAUCCCACCCAAAUCCCGCACCACCGGUGGCUGUUGUCGCUCCUCACUCAGGACCCAACCACCAGGCUCCUGCGCCACCGAAAGUCGUGGUUGUGAAUCCUCCUACUCACCAUGACAACCACAAACAUUAAACUUGGCGGAUGAUGAUGUUAUAUAUAAUGCGGUGCUACUUGUUGCAGCUGCUUAUAAUCACUUUGCUCUAAUAAAUUUUGUUGAAAUACUCUACGUGAUUUAUGUUUUUCUAUAUGUAUUCUGGUCCAAGUCGACGAUCUUGUAAGGUAAACCUAUGUGUUAUAAAUAAACUCCUUGACGAGUAAUUUAUUGUAUUGUUCGUGCGGUUCUUGGAUCAAGUAUAUUGUCUUUCUUGCAUCAAACAACUACUGUAUUUAUAUAUAGUACUGUUCUAUGAAAGUGGGGUUUAAAUUUCUAUUUAUAUAUUGUUUUAUUUUUUUUAUGGGAACGAUUAGAGAUCUUUAAUCCCGUCUAUUUGUAAAAACUAUCUGCGGAGCACAGGAAAACUGACAAAAGAUGAGUGGCAUAUAUAUGGUUAAUAACUCAUAUAUUUGUAGCAGGUCGAUUUUACAUGUUCUGAAAGGUUAUAAAUCGUUAAUAUUUUGUUGUUUUCAUUGAUUUAUCUGACCAUCUGAGGGUUUUUGCUAUAAAAAAUUCUGAUUUCAACUUUGUUAAACUGUAUUUCAGAUCCUAAGAAAACCAAACUAACCAAUGCUGCGAAACCAUGCACAGCUAUCCAAUGAUAUUCACGCACAUGACACAGUUCACUUAAGAUUAUUGACAGAAAACUUUAGGCGCUCUUUUGCAAUAUUUUCUAGUUUGUUAAAUUUUCCCCAAAACUAUUUGAGAAGUUUAAAUAAAAAUGAUUUUUAAAAAUGUUAGAGGAUCAUAUGAUAUGCUCUUAUUCGAUCGAUUAUAAACUAUCCCAUUAAGAAAUAUCUAAUACGUUACUAGCUCAAAUUCGGUUUGAAUCCUGGUCUCAAAUAUUCGGGAUCAAUUUAUAUCCUGAUAAAAUCAUCUCGGAUCCAAAUCUGAACACACUAAAAUAAAAAUGAUAUGAUACUUGAGUUGAGUGGAUUAAUUUAUUGUACUUGCAUUUUGUGGGUUGUAAUAUAUAUGUGUCUAUGUGUAUAAUACUCGAUGUAUGCAAUCAGACCGUUUUGUAGAAGAACCUAAGAUUGUGUUUGGUAACAUGUAUUUCAUUUUAAAUUUUGGAUUUCAAAUUAAAUUAUUUUGAUGUAUCAUUUCAAAUUCUCAGUUUUAUACUAGUAUUUGAAUAUCCUGGAUUUCAAAUGAAAUUCAAAUCUAACAAUUUUUUCAUUAUCUCCAAACAUGUCAUUUGACCAAAUCCAGGAUUUGAAAUGAAAUUCAUGUUCCGAGACAGGUAGAUAUGUUGAUAAUCUAUUAAUGUGAUGCUUGAGUGACUACUUUAUAAUCAGUCAAUUGGCUAAUAAUCAUCAUCUCUACUGGCGAUGACAUGGUGAUACUAGCAGAAAUAUCAUUAUCAUUCUGGUUGGCAUUUUUUGAAAUCAUGUUCUCACAUGGUGUAGCAAACCAAUGUUCCUGAUCCCAUUGUAUUGGACCGGAUCGAGUAUAAGCUGGUUCUAGGUAAAUCAUAUAACCCAAUUAAUUAUAAAGAACGGUUGAAUGUUUCAUCAGAGGAAACCCCCAAGACUGGGUCAAGACGGACGUUUGGAAGACACGACUGUCAUCUCCCUUGUAAUUAAUAAACAAUAUAUUUAUUAAAAUAAAAAAUAAAGCUCUAUAUCUUUAUUAAAUAUAAAAUUAUCUAAAAAAAUUGUAGGGUUUAUAUAUUCGACUAUUAAAAGUAAGUAAAUUUGUGAUUCAAUUAGUUAUAAAAUAGAUAAUAUUUUCCCAUUAGAUAUAAAUAGGUCAUGUGAAAUGAUAUAUUUGACAUGCUAGCCAUCACUAUCAAAAUAUUAUAGCCGACACUUUUAUAGCCACUUAUUCUUGGGAAAUCUACAAAACUACCUACCUUUUCUUUUAUUGUUUUCAAAAAUACUACCUUCCAGAAUUAUUUUUAAAAAUACCUUUUCAUAAAAAAAAAAUUCAAAAAUACUGUUUGCAACUUUUGCAACCUCAUUUGCAACUACAGGCGGCGCCAGCCGUGUUGCAACCUGAUUUCAAAUUCCAGUUUUCAAAUGUCAUUUUCGACCUCAUUUUCGGAAUCGAUAUAUAUAUAUAUAUAUAUAUAUAUAUAUAUAUAUAUAUAUAUCGAUUCCGAAAAUGAGGUCGAAAAUGACAUUUGAAAACUGGAACUUGAAAUCAGGAUUUGUAAUUGCAUAUAUGGUUGCAUAUGGUUGUAUUCAGUUGCAUAUGGUUGCAUUCAGUUGAUUCUAUUGUAAUCUAAUGGCCCCGCCAGGGGCACACCAUACAUCUGUUGUUGCUUACAGUUUUCAGUUGCAUUUAGUUGCAACUGAGGUUGCAAAAGUUGCAACUGCAGUUGCAACUUCAUUUGCAACCUCAGUUGCAACUAAAUGCAACUGAAAACGAUAUAUAGAAGCAAAUGCAGUUGCAAAAGUUGCAACCUCAUUUGCAACUUACAGUUUUCAGUUGAACUAGUUGCAAUUGCAGUUGCAACAGUUGCAACUUUCCAUUUUUAUUUGUAACUUAUGCAACCUCAUUUGCAACUUUUGCAAACUCAUUUGCAACUUUUGCAACCUCAUUUGCAACUUUUACGGCUGCGCCGCCCAAGGUUGCAAAUGAGGUUGCAAAAGUUGCAAAUCAUAUUUUUGAAAAAAAAAAUUUAUGAAAAGAUAUUUUUAAAAACAAUGAAAAAGAUGGUAGUAUUUUUAAAAAACUAAUUUUACAGAUGGGUAUUUUUAAAAAGAUCCCCUUAUUCUUUGGAACCUAAAUAAAUAUAUACUUGGAAUCUAAUUCCCAUUUUAAAAUUAUAUAUGUUGAUAUGUACGCAAAUACAAACAAUAUUAGUCGUAAAAUGUGUUUAUGACCAAUUUUUAAUCAAUGUUUUUAAUUACAAAAUCACUCAAACAUACAAUACAAAUCACUUUCAUAUAUAUAAUAUAGCUCCUAAAUAUUAUAUGUUAGGUCCUAUAAACUCACUAUAUAAUAUGAUAUAGUGAUCACAAUCUGUAACACAGUAAGACAAUAUGAGAAAUUGGAAUCAAUAAACUCUUAUAUUCACAAAGCUUUUAUGGUUACAAAAACUCUCUCAGUGAUUUAUAUUGUAUCACUAAGAGCUGCUAGGGUUCUUAACAAUGUACUCGAUAACUCAACUCAUAUAGAGUAACCCUAAUCUGUGUUUAUAUAGACACAGUUACAAAAUCAAUCUCUGAUUUGAUAUCCUAUAAAUCAGCUAUGAAUUCUAUCAAUCAAAGAUUGCUCCAGUUUUCUGUUUAGUUUCCAUAGUCAGCAAAUCACUCCUCCGCUUCUAUCCUUCCUUGAAGUAUAUCCGCUUCUGAGCUCUUUCCACGUGUAAACUCUGACGAGUCUUGACUAUGUAAACUCUGAUCAGACUUUAUUAAACUCUGUCAGACUUUGCUAAACUCUGUUCAGCUUCUAGUUUAAACUCUGAUGAUUCCUGUUCUAAAACAAACCUUAAGAACAUUAGUAAUCAUCAAUUAUAUCUAACAAUCUCCCCCAACUUGUGCAUAAAUAAGUUAUGUGCAAGUUAACAGAUAAUUGAUGAUGUCAAAACAUUUAAGUCAAAUGCAACAGAGUUUAACUAUAUAACAGAAAACUUUUAAAACUUACAGAUACUUUACUCCUUAGCUGCAUAGACACCAUUUGCUGUCUUUAGAUACCCUCUGAGGAGUUCUUUUUCAGCUUCUUCAAGCACUGUAAUCAUUUGUCUCUUGAUCUCUCUCAGCUCUGGAUCUGAAACUCCAGUUUGAUAAAUUGCAGCUCUGAGAUCAUAAAUCUUGUUCUUCUUCAAGUCCCUAUCCAGCCUGAUAUUGUAAGCUUUAUCAGACUCUUCAUUAAAUGCAAGAGUUCUGAUUCCACCUAUUGUUUCAAUCUUUGCUGAAUUUUUCUUCAUCUCCACCAGCUGUCCUUUAUGAUUGAGGUAUUUAGGAAUGAAAGGUCCAGCAUUUUUGUUUCCUGUAAUCCCCAUCUUUCUUCUGAUUUGAUCUUUUAGCAGGUUGGAGAUGUGUUGUCCUGACUUGUUCUUUACUUGAAAUAUGUAUGAUACAUAUCUCAAUUCUUCCCAGUGUUUAGCAUAUAGAUCUGCUUCAAGUACUCUAAACACUGUUCCAUCAGACAUGAAGUAGAUAAGGAUAUUAUCUCCUCUGUCAUUCUUUACCAACUGGACUGAAUCAAGUUUGUCCAUUUUGUCUUGCAAUACUCCAGUCUUGGGAGCACAGAGAGAUGAGGGGUCAUCUGGUCUUGAUCCUAUACUCUGAUCAAAUUUUUCAUAUUUGGAUCCCAGCCCUCCUUUAUCUCUUCCUGCCUUACGAUGAGAGAUUGGUUGAAUUGAGCCCUUUUCAAAGCUUAUCUCAGUCAUCAGAGUAGGCUUUGCAAAUCCAGCCAGUGGAGUAGUUGUUGGUUUGAACACAGCUUGAGCUUUGUCAGAGGUUGUGUCUUUCUUUGCAUCCUUAUUAACUUGAGCUAUGUCAGAGGUUAAUAUUUCUUUUUGAGGUUCUGCAACAUGAGCUUUGUCAGAGAUUGCAGCUUCUGUUUUCUUUUCCUUUACAACUUGAUCCUUGUCAGAGGUUGUAGACUUCUUCUUUUCCCAGCCUUUCUCCAGAUGUUCAUCUACUUUGCUUUUGCCCUUGGAAGUAUAUUCAUCUUCAGAGUAUACCUUUUUGACUGGUAAACUCUGAUCAGCAACAGUAGGUUCCUUGAUCAAUAUCCCUUUUUCUUUUGGCUUGGUAGUUGACUUUGCAGGCUUUUGGAUCUUUCCAGAGUUUAUGGCUUCAAUAUGUUCCUUUUUCAGCUCAGCUUCCUCUGCAGCAAUCAACUCCAAAUCCAAAUUUGCUUCUGGAUUUUCUUGUUCAAAAACCAAUCUAGCAAGCUCUUCAUCAGUCAUGGGUUUGUCUGAUCCAGUCACUGGUCUUUGCUUAGAUCCAGAUGUGAUGUUGUGAGUUGGACCAGACUUUGUGCUUUGCUUAGAUUGUUUCUGACUGUCAGAGUUUGAAACUCUUCCACCAGUCCCUGCUUGAAAUCUCUUGUGCUUUGUGAAAUCAUCAGCAUCAUCAUCAUCAUCCUUCUUCUUCCUCUUCAGAGUUUGAGUAGUAGACUUGCAUUUGACUUGAGCUACUCUCUCCCCCUUUUUGACAUCAUCCUCAUCAGGAAUCAGUAUGGAUGUGAUCAGAGAAAGUGAAGAUUGGAUGGCUUCAAGCUGUUUGGACAUCUUCUCUUGAGUUGAUUCAAUGAUAGUCAUCCUCUUGUCCAGAGAUUCAUGUGCAGACACCAGCUUCUGAACAUUAUCUCUCAGAGGUAUUAUAGUCCUUUUCUUCUCCAACUCAUUUGUCUCCUUGACAUUAGCCACCUCUGUUCUUAGACCAUCUAUUGAUUUAGAUGUCUGGGCAUGAGCAGGAUGAAAUGUCUUCAGAUAAAGAAUUGUGCCUUUGAGGCUUGACAUAACAUCAGAGUUUGAAAUUUUAUUCUCUGCCAUAGAUAGAAAUUCUUCAGCUUUAGUUGGCUCCAGAGAAUGUUGAUGGCUCAACCAGAGUUUAUCCCAGACUUCAUUUGGUGGAUCAACCUGAAGAUCCCUGGGAAGUGGCUCAGAGUCUGUGUUCAGAGUUUGUAGCCUGGCAUUAUACUGGCUAGUAGACUCCCACUUUUGUUGUGUCAGAGGGACUCCAUCAUCUUCAUCCUUGUCAGUAUCUGAACUGUCAUCAUCCUCAGUAUCAGCAUCAGAGUUUGCUUUGUCAGUUUCAGGAACAGGAUCAGCAACUUUCUCCACAGUAUCUUGAGCAGAUUUUUCUUGAGCUUCAGACUGUGAUUUGAUAGGCUCUUCACCAGUCUGAGCAAGAGACUGUAGAGCUUCCAUAGCUACUCUGUCAGAUUCAUCAACUACAUCAGACCUGUAGUUUUCUGGAGCUGUAUCAUGAACUAUGGCACCCUCUGGAAUUUUCAUUGGAGAAUUAGGAAUUGGAGUGGAGGGUCCAUGAUCAGAUAAUGGAGUAUGAGGAUCAGACAUUUUUGCUCCAGCUUCAGUUGUAACUGGUUCAUCACACUUUAUUUCUUCAUCUACUUCAGAGGAUGAAGUAGAUGCUGUAGGAGAUGGUAGAGGAACAGCUUGGAUAGGAAGCACCAUCAGAGCUUGAGAAUGUUCAGUAACUGGAGUUGAUGGUGUUUGGUCUUCCUCAACUGUGAAGUAUGUGAUUUCAGUAACUGGGACUUUUGCUCUUGCAGGCUUUUGAGCCCUUCUUUUGAAUCUGGCUGGCUUCUGAGGACUAGCUUGAACAGGUUCAGAGUUUGCAUCUUGGGCAGGUUCUAGAUCAAUAUCAUAUUCAUAUGCUGCAACAAGUCUUCUUCUUUUCUUCUGCUUUUGAGGAGUAGCAGCUUCAGUGUUUACUGGAAUAUCAGAGUUUGCUUGAGGGUCAGAGUUUAAAUGAGCCUCAGAGUUUACUGGCUCAUCAGUGUUUGUCUGCUCAUCAGUGUUUGGUUUCAGAACAUGUGUAGCAACAGAGGUUCUUGUUCUUUUGGCAGUAGAAGGGGCUGCAUCAGACUUUGCAGCCCUUUUGGACUUGGAUGCAGAAGUUCUGGGUGCUUGAGAAGAGACUGGAGAUUGUUGAUUUGCUGGAGGCAUGUUCAGUCUAUCUCUAAUUUGAGCUGGAACUUGUAACGGCCUGAGAACUGGCCUCUUUUCAUCUUUAGAGAUGAGAUCUUUGAAAGCCCUUUUAUGCAACUUAAAAGGUCUGAUCUCAUCAUCAAAUGCUACCUCUCCAACAGAUGCAUUGAACAAUAAUUGGCAAAAUCGAGAAAAAUAGACAACUUUACGAUUUUCAUUCAUUCUUUCACCAAUAUUUCUAAUAACUAAUCUACCAUAAUCGAAAUUAGUAGAAUAGAUCAGAGAAUACCCAAUUUGUAGCAUGUCCAUGGGUAUUGCAUCCCAGUUGGUAGAUUUCUUCUGGAAAGCCCUGGUUAUGCAAUCAAAGAAGAAACUCCACUCCUUCCUUAGUCCAGGACGCUUCAGUUGGCCCAAUUUGUCCAGAGAGUCAUAGUAGCCCAAGUCAGUCAUCAUGACUCUUAGAUUUGCAUCGCCAUUUGUGAUGUAAUUUGAAUGUUCAGGUAGGUUAAGAGCUUGACGGACUGUGGCUGGAGUGACAGCAUACUCCUCUCCUUCGUAAGAGAAUACAAUGGAUGGAGAUCCAUUUGUACCACCAUUAUCAUAAUGACCCGUCCUCCAAAAAUUUAUAAUCUGACUUCCAGAGAGUCUGGCAGGAGCUGUAAGGGCUGUGGCCAGAGCACUCUGUGCCAAGAAGCGCUGGAAGGGAUGAUAAUCUCUUGGGGCUUCAGUAGUGUCAAGAAUGGCUGCGUAGUUGUUGGGGACAAAGUCCACACCUGCAUGGGUAAAUGUAGUAGUUGCCAUUAUAUCAGAGAUUGUGAGUAGAGAGAUGUGUUUGAGAAAAUGUGUGUGAGAAGAUUUGAAUUUCAGAGAGAAGAGAGUAAGAGUUUGUGUGUAAAGAUUAAGUGUAGAAGUGAAGAAAAAGCAAUAAAAUCUGAUGAUAAACUCUUCAGAUUUUGUUUAGCUGUACACGCUUGGGCUCUUUGUUCACUUGGACACCUGUCAGAUUUUAACUGGUAGUUGAAUGUUAGUGGGAUAGAGAAACGAGAGUAAUAAUCAUGAGCGCAGUAAAACAUGUGCAGUAAUAAAUGCUGAUUACACGUUCUCCUAUUAAAAUGUUUUUCAUGUAAACCCACUAACAAUACAUCCGUUUGAAAUACUCCCUUCAUAUUCUCUGAAUAUUUGUACUCCUGAAAUGUACAAGAUUUAAAAAUCAAGAUUAAAUCUCUCGAAUUUUAAACUCUGAGAUUUACAUCAAAGAAAAUAAAUUUCUAAGUACCUCAGAAUAAAGACAUGAUUUUUAGAAAAUUCAUCAGAAAAUCAGAGUUUGUCACAAAAUCCAUAGCUCAAUAAUGUGCUUGUGACAUUAUGUGUGUGAUUUAACAUAUUAAAUCAGAGACUAGAGAAUUUCACAAUUUCGUAAUUAUAAGGUAGACAAGAAUAAUUUAUUUAAACUCUCAAGACAUAGACAAAAGAUAUACUCUGAUGGAGAAAUAUAUAAAAUAAACCAACCCCCUUUUUUUUUUUUUUUCAAAGGACGCUUUUCAGUGUAAAUGAAUCACGACCUUUAAAUAUUAUUUUGCAACAGUAUUUCUCCAGUAAUCAGAGAUUGUGACUGGUCACCAUAGAUUAUAAAAUCUUGGCAAUUACUUAAUACCAGUAAGUGUUUGGGUCUUCCCAGUCACUGUCAUAUAGACAUCUAAGAUCUCAAAGGAGUACUAUGCUUAUUUGCAGGGGUAUGUAUAUAGCAUCAGAGUUUAUAAUCACUGUCUAAUUUUCUGAGAGAAAAUGCAAAUUAGUCAGUCUCACUUAUAAUUAAGAUAUGUGAAGUAAUAGAGUCUCAAUGAUAUCAACAUGCAUAUAGUGUAAAGUAGUAGCACAAAAUUGAGAUCAAGAUUAAAGAACUGAACUGAGAUUCAUGAUUACUAAUUCAUAUCAUGCUUCAUAGUAUCUUCACAGGUUUGUUUUCUCAGAGAAAUAAAAAUGAAAUCAUUAAUCAAGAUUCAGAGUUUACAAACAUCAGAGAAUAUCGUCAGAGAAUGACGAUCAGAGAAUAUCAUCAGAGUAUAGCACACAGAGUAUAUCAGCAGAGAAUGUCAUCAGAUUUUAACAAUCAGAGUAUAUCAUGGCAAAUUUGUGAGCAAUACAUAUGGUAAUUUGACAAUUGAAAUUUGAAAGAUCUGACCAGUAUGUUUACUCAGUUCCUGAUAUCAUUCCUAGCUCAUUCACCAGCCUAGUAAAGGUUGCUUCACUUAGUGGUUUGGUGAAUAUGUCUGCUAGCUGCUGUUCUGUGGGAACAAAGUGAAGUUCAAUGGUUCCUUCCUCCACAUGCUCCCUUAUAAAAUGAUAUCUUAUACUGAUGUGCUUUGUCAGAGAAUGUUGAACUGGGUUUCCUGUCAUAGCAAUAGCACUUUGGUUAUCACAAUAAAUAGGAAUUUUAGAAAAGGAUAACCCAUAGUCCAACAGUUGAUUCUUCAUCCAAAGAAUUUGAGCACAGCAGCUGCCUGCAGCUAUAUACUCUGACUCUGCUGUUGAUGUUGAAAUGGACUUCUGCUUCUUGCUGUACCAAGAAACAAGUCUUCCACCCAGAAAUUGACAACUCCCACUUGUGCUUUUCCUGUCAAUUUUGCAACCUGCAAAAUCUGCAUCAGAGUAUCCAAUUAGACUAAAAUCUGAUUCUCUAGGAUACCAUAAUCCCAAUGAUGUGGUUCCCUUGAGAUAUCUGAAUAUCCUCUUUACUGCAAUCAGAUGAGGCUCUCUUGGAUCUGCCUGAAAUCUUGCACAUAGACAUGUGGCAUACAUGAUGUCUGGUCUACUUGCAGUCAGAUAAAGCAAAGAUCCAAUCAUUCCUCUAUAGUUUGUGAUAUCCACUGAUGCACCAGUAUCUUUGUCUAGUUUGGUUGCUGUUGCCAUAGGAGUAGUUGCAGCUGAACUGUCUUGCAUACCAAAUUUCUUCAAAAGAUUUCUGGUAUACUUGGCUUGAUUUAUAAAAAUCCCAUCUUCAGUCUGUUUAACUUGUAAACCCAGAAAAUAACUGAGUUCCCCCAUCAUGCUCAUUUGGUACCUAGACUGCAUGAGCUUGGCAAAUCUUUGACAGAGUUUAGCAUUAGUGGAGCCAAAAAUAAUGUCAUCAACAUAGAUUUGAACUAAAAGCAGAUCAUUACCAUGAUUCAAAUAAAACAGGGUUUUAUCUAUGGUACCUCUAGUAAAUCCACUUUCAAGAAGAAAUUGAGCCAGAGUUUCAUACCAUGCCCUUGGAGCCUGCUUUAGUCCAUAAAGUGCUUUGUCCAAUCUAUAGACAUAGUCUGGAUGCUUUGGAUCCACAAAGCCUGGAGGUUGUUCAACAUAUACCUCUUCAUCCAGUUUCCCAUUAAGAAAAGCACUUUUGACAUCCAUCUGAAAUACCUUGAAUUUCUUGUGUGCAGCAUAGGCCAGAAAGAUUCUAAUUGCCUCCAAUCUUGCAACUGGAGCAAAUGUCUCAUCAUAAUCAAUACCUUCCUGUUGUGAAUACCCUUUUGCCACAAGCCUUGCUUUAUUCCUUGUAAUGACACCCUCACUGUCAGUUUUGUUUCUGAACACCCAUUUUGUACCAACUAUGGAUCUGUCUUUAGGUCUUGGUACUAGGGUCCAUACUUUGUUUCUCUCAAACUCAUUUAGCUCCUCUUGCAUUGCUUGAAUCCAGUCAGCAUCUUGAAGAGCUUCCUCCACUUUCUUAGGUUCUGUUUGUGACAGAAAGCAAUGAUGUAAACACUCAUUUGCUGUAGCUGUCCUUGUUUGCACACCUGCUUCUGGAUUUCCAAUUAUUAAAUCAGGUGUGUGAGAUUUUGUCCACUUCCUAGCAUGUGGAAGUUGACCAUUUUCAUCAUUGGAUCCUCCCCCUUGAUCCAUGCUCUCCUGAUUCUGUUGAUUAUUCUCUGUAGCUCCCCCUAAAUUUGUGCUAUCAGAGUUUGAAUCAGUAUUCUCUGAUGAGUUUGAGUCAGCAUUCUCUGAUGAGUCUUGGGUAGAGUCUGAAACAUUCUGAUGCUCCCCCUCAGCAAGUGCUUCAUCAUCAUGAACUUGUAAAUUUUCAUCAGAGUUUGCUGUAUCUUGUUCACAGUCAGAGUUUGACUGUUCAUCAGAGUUUGUCGAAUCAGAGAAUAUUUCUUCAUUUUCAAAAUGCAGUUUUUCAUGAUCAUCCAUAUCUGCUAAGCCCAUAAUUCUUUUGUCAUCAAAUGACACAUGUAUGGAUUCCAUGAUCACCUUGGUUCUCAGAUUAUAGACUCUGAAGGCCUUUGUUAUCAGAGGAUAACCUACAAAAAUACCUUCAUCAGCUUUUAAAUCAAACUUGGUAAGCUGUUCUGGAUGAGUCUUCAAUACAAAGCAUUUGCACCCAAAUAUAUGAAAGUACUUCAGAUUUGGCUUCUUUUUCUUCACCAUCUCAUAUGGGGUCUUGCCAUGCUUAUUAAUCAAGGUUGCAUUUUGAGUGAAACGGGCUGUUUGAACAGCUUCUGCCCAGAAAUAAGUAGGCAAUUUAGCCUCAUCAAGCAUAGUUCUGGCAGCUUCUAUAAGAGUCCUGUUUUUCCUUUCAACUACACCAUUUUGCUGUGGUGUACCAGGUGCAGAGAAUUGUUGCACUACACCUCUUUCUUUGCAGAACUCUUCCAUUGUUGAAUUUCUGAACUCAGUUCCAUUAUCACUUCUAAUGAUCUUCACUUUGUCUUCAGAUCCAUGAUCCAGUUGUUUCACAUGAUCCAUCAGAUGCAAGGCUGUUUCAUCUUUAGAGUGAAGAAAAUAUACCCAAGUGUAUCUGGUAUACUCAUCAACAAUGACAAGAGCAUAUUUCUUCCUUGCAAUGGAUGGUACAUUGACUGGUCCAAAUAGAUCAACAUGUAGAAGAUGAUAUGGUUUGUUUAUUGAGAAUUCAGUCUUACUCUUGAAAGAUGUCUUUCUCUGCUUGGCUUUUUGACAUGAAUCACAUAAUCCAUCAGAUGUAAGUAGUGAUUCAGGGAGUCCUCUCACAAGCUUUUUCUUUAUAAGCUCAUUUAUGGAGUUGAAAUUCAGGUGUGAGAGCUUCUUGUGCCACUUCCAACUUUCUUCUGCAGAGAUUCUUGUAGACAAGCAAAUUGCUUUUCCUUCAGAGUUUGUAGGCAAGUGGAUUUCAUAAAUAUUCCCAUGUCUGUGAGCAGUUACUGCCACUUUGCCUGUUGACUUGCUUACUAUCUCACUGUGUUCUUCAUAGAAAUCAACAUGAUAUCCUCUGUCACAGAUCUGACUGACAGAGAGUAAAUUGUGUUUCAGCCCUUGAACAAGAGCUACAUUUGAUAUGAUGACAUUUCCAAGAUUGAUGUUGCCAUAUCCCAGAGUCCUUCCUAUGUUGCCAUCUCCAUAAGAAACACUUGGGCCAGCCUUCUCCACAAACUCUGACAGCAGGGCCUUAUUUCCAGUCAUGUGUCCUGAACAUCCACUGUCCAAGACUAGAAUAUUCUUCCUGUUGCCCUGCAAUCACAAAGACCACUAAUUGUUAGUUUUAAGGACCCAGACUUGCUUGGAUCCCUUGGCCUUAUUAAGUUUGUUAGCUUUUGCAGCGGAAUUAUUAUUAUCAGAGUUUGAGCUAACAGACUUUGGAACAGAGUUUGUACUAGAAACAGAUUUUGUACUUGCAGAGUUUUUAUUAACCUUUUUCAAAGAAGGUUUCAAUUGAUAAUAAUCAUAAUACAAACUAUGAUAUUCUUUGCAAGUAUAAAUAGAAUGCCAUAAACUACCACAAUGAAAACAUGGAUCUUGUGGUUUAUAUCUAAUACUACUUUUUCUAACUCCAGACUUUGUAGGUAAGGAGUUAAUGUCCUUGUUCUUCCUGCAAAAAUUAGCAAGAUGAUUAGUAUUUCCACAGUUAUGGCAUGUCUUCCUAGGUGCAUUUGGAACAGGCAUGUAGUUAUUACUCUUGUCUAUUCCAAUCUUGCCAUUUCUAUUUUUCCUAGGCUCCUUGUUUUUGUCAUCAGACUUUACCUCUUUAAGCUUAUGUUUAAGCUGUUUCUGAGUCAUCAGUCCUAUGUUAACCUGUUUGGGCUUAUCAGAUUUUAAAUUGUUGUUAAUCUCUGAUUUUGGUCUACUCUGUUUAGACUUAGAGGAUUCAGCAACAAAUUUAACAGGUUUAACCUUAGGUUUUUGAGUUUUAACAAACUCUGUUUUUGAUGACUCAGCUUCUGAGUUAUCAGUGUAACCUAGUCCCUUCUUCCAGUUUCCACUACCUAAGAUAUCCUGAGUAGUUUUGCCUGAAUUAGUCCAUGUCUUAAUAAUAUCCCUUUCCUUAGCAAGUUCUGAUUGAAGAGAUGCAUACCUCUUUAAUAGUUCAUCUUUGACAAUGACAGCAUCAUCUCUUUCUUUCUGAACUUCUAACAUCUGAACUAAUUCUUUUUCUAGAUAAUCAUUCCUUUUCUUUACACUUAGAGUUUCAGAUUUUAAUCUUUCAUUCUCUAAAGUCUGAUCUCUAAAGCUGAUAUGCAAAGUUUUAAGAAACAAUCUUAACUCAGUUAUAUCUUCAGUAUCAAAGGCAAGAGUAGAAUGAGGUACCUUAGCAGUAGAUUCAGAGUUGUUGUCAGUGUUUGCCAUCAGAGCAUAAUUGACUUCUUCUUCUGAAUCAGAUGUAUCUGUCCAGUUUCCUUUCUUGGUGAUAAAGGCUUUUUCUUUUUCCUUCUUGGCUUUCUUGCAUUCAGAUGCAAAGUGACCCUUUUCACCACAGUUGAAACAGGUAUACUUGUCAGCUUUUCCAGCUUUCCCUUCCUUGCCCUCAUUCUUCUUGAAGUUCUUCUUAUCAUAAACUCUGUCAGAGUUUCUGUCUUUCCUUGAAAAACUUUUGCCUUUGUUGAACUUUUUGUAGGCCAACUUCUUGAAGCUUUUCACCAUCAAUGCUGCUAACUGCAUCAUCUCAUCAUCACUUUCUUCAGAGUCUGAGGGAACAUCAGAGUUUGAGUCAUCAGAGUUUGAUGACUCAAUGUCAGACUUUGUGACAUGAGCUUUUCCUUUGCUCUUAGCAGCUUCCUCUUGAACUUUCAGAGCAACAGACUUUGAUUUUCCUCCAUGACGUUUGCUCCUUUGCUCCAUCUCAAGUUCAUGAGUCUUCAGUCUUCCAUAAACAUCAUCAAGAGACAUUUCUCCAAGAUCAAGAUUGUCUCUUAUUGUAGUGACUUUCAAAUCCCAUUUUUCAGGAAGAGCCAGAAGGAAUUUGAGGUUUGAGUCUUCAAGAUCAUAUUCCUUGUUCACCAGAGAUAAGUCAUUCAACAGUUUGACAAAUCUGUCAUACAGAUCUGUCAAGGACUCACCAGAUUUUGAGUCAAAGUGCUCAUACUCCUGUGUAAGGAUUGUUUUUCUGUUUUUCUUUAUGGCCUGAGUUCCCUGACAUCUGGUUUCCAGAGCAUCCCAGAUUUGUUUAGCAGUUUUGCACCCAAUCACCCUAUUAGACAUUGCAUUAUCAAGGGCACUGUGCAGAAGGUGUUUCACCUUAGAGUCUUUACCAAUUGACAAGAUGUCCUCAGGGGUAUAAUCUUUCUUUUCUUUUGGAACCAUCUUCUGAGGUUCAUCUGCAAGCCCAACAGAGAGCUUGGUGGGCAUAUGUGGUCCAUCAUAGAUCCUGUCAAGGUAUUCUGGAUCAACAGAGUCUAAGAAUAUGAUCAUUCUCUCUUUCCAGACUGGAUAUUCAGAUGCCUUAAGGAUUGGAACUCUAAAGGAUGAAGCUUGUGAUUUUUCAGACAUGAUUGUGAUUAAGAUCUCACUGUAGUAAUCUUAACAGAGCUGGCUCUGAUACCACUUGUUAGGUCCUAUAAACUCACUAUAUAAUAUGAUAUAGUGAUCACAAUCUGUAACACAGUAAGACAAUAUGAGAGAUUGAAAGCAGUAAACUCUUAUAUUCACAAAGCUUUAAUGGUUACAAAAACUCUCUCAGUGAUUUAUAUUGUAUCACUAAGAGCUGCUAGGGUUCUUAACAAUGUACUCGAUAACUCAACUCAUAUAGAGUAACCCUAAUCUGUGUUUAUAUAGACACAGUUACAAAAUCAAUCUCUGAUUUGAUAUCCUAUAAAUCAGCUAUGAAUUCUAUCAAUCAAAGAUUGCUCCAGUUUUCUGUUUAGUUUCCAUAGUCAGCAAAUCACUCCUCCGCUUCUAUCCUUCCUUGAAGUAUAUCCGCUUCUGAGCUCUUUCCACGUGUAAACUCUGACGAGUCUUGACUAUGUAAACUCUGAUCAGACUUUAUUAAACUCUGUCAGACUUUACUAAACUCUGAUCAGCUUCUAGCUUAAACUCUGAUGACUCCUGUUCUAAAACAAACCUUAAGAACAUUAGUGAUCAUCAAUUAUAUCUAACAUUAUAUAUAAUAUACAUUAAAGGGAUAUGAUCAUCUUUUUCACCUCUACUAGUAAUUAUGGACCUCUUGAGAACAUUAUGAGCACCAUUUAUGUCUUGCCUCCAUCUUGUGAUAAUGUUCAUAUACUUGCUAGAAUUAUAAAUAAAAAAAAUGGGAUUUGUUCAUUUUUAUAGUAUUAAGGACAACUAGAUAAUAGACAUAGUUGAAGGAAUGAGUUAAACCUCUUUAAGGUAAUACCCCUCGGACCGGGAAAAAAUAUUACUUUAACGAAUUUAUUAUUUUAUCGAUAUAAUAAUAUUUUAUUAAUUUAUCGAUAAAGUAAUAAUUUAUUAUUUUACCGAAUUUCUAUAUGUUUAUAAAUUAUAAUUCAUUAUUUUUAAAAACAAGAAUCAGUCAAAUGCAAUGUAUUUGAUUUAAAAUUAAUUUUAUAAUAAUUAAUCAUAUGUGAAAACUAAAUUCAUGCAUGCAGUAGAUAGAGUAUACAUGUUACUAACAUGAGCAAAACAUACCGGAAUUAUUUAUGCUUUACAUAAAGUCAAGAAUGAGAUUAAUUUUUAUCUUAGUGGAAAGAAGAAACAAGUUACUAUAGAUUUAUAUUUUAAAAAAGACUGAAUUUUGAAUUCAUAUAUUAUAUAUAUAUAUNNNNNNNNNNNNNNNNNNNNNNNNNNNNNNNNNNNNNNNNNNNNNNNNNNNNNNNNNNNNNNNNNNNNNNNNNNNNNNNNNNNNNNNNNNAGAAAUUCAGUAAAGGCACAGAUAAUAUAUAUAUAAAUAAUUAAUGAAUUAUAUAUAUAUAUAUAUAUAUAUAUAUAUAUAAUUCAUGAAUUAUUACUUUACAUAUUACCUGGGCCUUUACUGAAUUUCUAAUUUUUUAUUAUUUUAUACUUUUAGCGAAAAUAUUACUUUACGACAUUGGCCUAAUUUGGGACUGACAAAAUUUAUUACUUAAACGAGGUUAUUACUUUAUCGGAUAUUAUUUAAUCGAGGUUUAACUGUAGAUCCCUUCUCUAUUCCAUUUAACAACAACGUCCGAAAGGACAUGAGUAGACUGAACAUAUGGACAUACACCUAUGUCACUAUUUAUCCUUGUACUAUUAGACUCCAUAAACCUCGUCAUGGUAACACCGCAUUAUAGAAGAGAAAGAUAAAGAAAAUGAUAGAUAAGGGAAUUUUUUCAAAAUAUUCAUAAAAUCUCGUAACUGUAAUUAUAAACGCUUAAAAAUAUAUAUUAUUAUAAUUUUUAUCUCAGUGAUAUGAUAUGAAUUUAAAACUUAGAAUUAUAUAUUCGUUCUCAUCAUGCACAAGAAAUACAUUCAUUAGGCAUCCUAACCAGACUAUUUCCAAACCCAUAUAUGAUGUUUUGUUAGAUUUUCUUUUCCGUUAAACUCAUACCUCAAAUCUCCAAGGUAUGAGAUUUUCAUACCCAAGAGGAGAGGGGGGGUAUGAAACAAAGGUUUGAGAAAUCAAUGAAGUUGAUGACUCAAAUAUAUAUAAAAAAUUUAUUUCAAGAAUAUUUUUAAAUUAAUUAUAAUUAAUCACUUAAAAUAUUUAAAUUAUAUAUGCUCAUUCCAGCACUUAACCAAACACAUGAUAUUAAAAAUAUAUCACAACCCCAUACCACCUUAACCCGAUUCCUCAUUGCUACCUCAUACCCUCUCACCAUUACUGAAAACUGAAAGGAUGCAUAUACACGUAGUGCUGCUAACCACUUCUCCUAAAAACUCUCCACUACAUUGAUGCAUAUAUAGCAGACCUAGUGCUGCUAACCACUUCUCCUAAAAACUCUCCACUACAUUGGACUUUCCUAAUAAUGCUGAAAACAAACUCACGACUAAGUCAUCUCCUCUAGACUAGGAUGACAAUUUAUUUAAAUUAAAACAACUAACUAAAACAAUAAAAUAAUAAAACAAGUUUAGAUUAAAUUUCCAGCAAUCUCUCCUUUAAUCUAAACUUGUCAAUCCUUCUAGCCCGUAUGGCUUAUUCGACUGGGCCCGUAAGACUAAUAAUCUGAGCCCGUAUGGCUAAUAAUCUGAGCCCGUAUGGCUAUUCUUCUGAGCCCGUGUGGUUAUUUUUCACAAGCCCGUGUGGCUUUUAAACUGAGCCCGUAUGGCUAUUCUUCUAAGCCCGUAUGGUUAAUACUUCUUUGACUGUAUGGCACUUCUAAUUUGCACGCCCAUCUGAUACUUACACAUGAUACUUAUACUAAACAAAGAACUCCAUACAGAUGAUGAUCUCUCAUGCAUUUAUUGGAACAGUUGGCCCACUCUAUCAAAACCAACUUUAUUUCCUCACAACUUCUCCUCCGGCUCUCUCACUCUAAUUGCUCUGUACAUCUACGGCCACCGUAGAAGCUCUGUGCUACCGGCCCGCUGAAAAAUGAACCACCACCUUUUUUGGAAACCAUCUAUUAUGCCUCCAAAGAUCGGUAGCUCUGAUACCAAGUUUUGUAAACAAAAACUGAUAUAUCUAUUACGUAGAUAGAAUAAAACAAAACAAACUAUCUAUUACUUCCAUUACUUAAAACCGAAAGGAAUACAUGCAUAUAUAACAGACGUACUGCUGCUAACCACUACUCCUAAAAACUCUCCACUACACUGUACUCCUAAUAAUGCUGAAAACAAACUCACGACUAAGUAAUCUCCGGUAGACUAGGAUGACAAUUUAUUUAAAUUAAAACAACUAACUAAAACAAUGAAAUAAUGAAACAAGUUCAGAUUAAAUUUCCAACAUAAGUUUAGAUUGAUAUCUGACAACUAUUUAUGAAUUUCUAUGAAAAGAAAAUUGUCUAAAGAAUUAAUGAUCAAAAUAACCUUUUUUUCGUGGGAAAAAAACUUUUUUAAGCACAUGAGAGGUGAUAAAAAUAGGAUCUAAUCAGAUAUAAUGAUAAUUAUUAGACAAUUAAUAUUUACCUAACAACUUCAGCCCACUAUUAUUUGGUGCAGAAAUGAGCCCUUUGGGCUUUAAUAUUUCUUUCAAAAAAUUCCAGUCACAAAAAAUGUGUAAUAUACUUUUUAUUUAUCGUCUCAAGACUUUCAAUAAUCUUGUAUCACCAUUUAUAUCUCUUUAGUAUAUAUUAUUUAUUUAAACUAGUAAAAAAUAUUUUAGGAUAUAAGCUAUUAAUUAUAAAAAUACAUGUUAUUGAAAACAUUUGAUUUGAGAUUAUUAGGUUCAAUAUUCUUUUAGAAACAAAAAA